UUUUCCAAAAAACCCGUCCACCACAAUUGGAAAACUCUCAAGACCGUGACAAUGUGAAAAGUCAAGAGUUUCUAGUGAAUCCAACUUGAGAGGUGGAAUACUCCUGAGAUUGCGACAACUACUAACAUUCAGGGUUUUAAGUUUUCCAAAAAACCCGUCCUCCACAAUUGGAAAUCUCUCAAGACUAUGACAAACUUUUAGCAAUUGAAAGACACCUAAAUGUUGAAAAUUGGGGAUUAAUAUAGUAAAUAAACCAUAAUAGGCGUUGCUCAAUAGACUCUUCAAAAUUAUUCAUUUUUUUAAUAAAGGUUCAAAUUUUACACACAAAAACAAUCGAUCAAAAGUUAUGAUUGAAGCGGAGGCUAAAUUAAAGGGUCUAUUGAGCAACUAUAUGCAAUGAUAAGAGUCAUAUGCCUGUUGCCUGUUGGUUCCCGCAUUAAUAGUAGUCGUGUGACUGUCAUUACUUCCUACCUUCCUUAUUUGGAGCAUUUGAAGUUUUCAACCAUAAGUUGAAAAUAACUCAAUCAACAUUGGCCUCACCAGAAUUGGAAUUAGCAUUAAUAUUCAUCAAUACUCCUUCCGUUUUAAAAUGAGUGUCGCUUUAGUCAAUUGCACACGUAUUAAGGAAUGGAAUCAAGUAGUCAAAUGUUAUGGUAAUUUUACAUAAUUAUCCUAAUCAACUAUUAGUUUGUUUUUUAUUAAAGAAAAAAUAAUACUUUGAAAGUAGUGUAACAUAGUAUUAAUUGAAGGGUACAAUUGAAAAGAAAAAGUUAUUAUUGCAUUGGAAACGGAAAAUGACAUUCAUUUUGAAUUUUUUUUUUUGUUGCUAAAACGACACUUAUUUUAAAACGGAGGAAGUAUUAUUUAAGGGUCUUCCUACCUUGCUUAAAGGUCUUAUCCGUGUUACUCUUUAAACUUUAAACCAUUUUUUUUUACAAUAACUUUUAGAAAGAAAGGAGAGUGAAUUCAAUAUUUUUCACCACUUUUCAACACGUUAUUUUUAUUUUUGUACUCUAAAAAAUAAUAUAGUUAGGUAACUCGCAAUAUUAUGCACGCACACUCCCAGGAAAAUCAAAAUAAUUAUACUCAUACAUUCAUUUUAUAUUAAUCGUAGUGAAUACACCAAUACUUAAUAAUGUAGUUUUAUUUGUACAAAUAAACAACGUUAAUUUAAUAAAAUGACUAUCCCUUUUUUCCUUUAUAUCAUUCAUUAAUCUGUGUGAAAUAGUUGUUCGUGAGACAGAAUAUUACCAAAAAAGAAACUGAAACCGAGAUAGAGAAUACAGUAUGGGAAACUAAAAAGCUUAAGAACAACAAUUUAUAAAACCAGUUCUUACAAUCCCUUGUGUGCCAGCCAAGAUAUUCACUAUAGCCGGUUGUUGUAACUAAAACAAUAAGUCCAAAAGCCAAGGAUUUUGGCCACCAAUAACGCCAAGGGAGUAAGUGCAAAAAUCCAAUCAACAAUUACCAAGUAAUGCAGAGCAACAAUUUAUAUCAUUCAACAAAAGCCUUUCACUCAUCUCCUUUGUUCACAUUGUUGAGAAGCCUCAAUCGAACUGAGUCCAAAUCUGACACAUUCUUGACACUGCAAAUAUAACAGGUUUUAUAAACUACAAGCAUUAGUAACCAAUAACAUCAAAAGUUCUGCUAUUGCAACAAACUGCUAAGUUCUAUUAUUCCAUUACAUCCAUGAUAUAUGUAAUCGUCUUUUUUAAUAGCCCAAACAAGGCUGAAAUUUCAUGUUAAGUCAGACUCAAAUUUUCACAUCUCUAAAGGAACAAAGGUUUCAUCAGUGAAAAAAAGAAAGAGACCCACCGUACAUAGUGUCUCCAGAAGAAACCACCUUCUUGCAAAGCCAGUCCGGCACAAUCUUUUCCAAGAUCUCAAUCUGCUCUUCAGCUUCUCCUAUUAGGAGGACAAGAUUAGUUAGCUAGAUUCUUUAUUACUAAGAAAUCGUGUACAUUAUAAUGAAUAGAAUUAGAACAUACUAAUCUCAACAAAAUCUAAACAGUUCAUCAUUAUCUUUUGCAAGAGCUACUCUUUUGUGAUUGAAGUUCUUUUGACAGAGCCAAAUAUAGAGUCAAUAACAUUAACCAGUUCCACCAAUGAUGAAGGAUUGUUAUCCAAUGCAUUAAAAGAAUGUUGAUCUACAUUGAUUUUCUGAAAAGAAUGACCAAGGUUCUCAUCUACCUGCAUCAAGAAACCAAUUAACAAGAAAUCGAUUACUUUCACGAGAAAAAAAUUGCUUUAACAAUAAAAAAAAAUUAAGGAAAAUAAUGUUGAUCAAAUGCGAAGUGUGGAAGUAAGGGAUAUUAGAUAUCAAUAAUAUGCUUAAGUAUGAACAGUUAUAAACACAGAGCACAGGCAUACUUCUGAACAAUGAAUAAACAAGAGAUUUGAAUGGUGCAAGAACAUGGGAGAAUAGUAAGAAAAUACAAAAUGAAUGAAGUGCAGUUAGUAUAUCCCUUUAUUAUCGUCAAUCUAGAAAGAAAGGAUUAUUCUAAGGAAUCGACUAAACUAUGAUAUUAUAAGUAUGUUAUAAAUAAAAACGUUACCGUUUUUGUAUACCCAUCCUCGAUGUUUUACUCUCAAUCUUCGACUUGUUUCUCACCCAAUAUGUUCAUUAUCUCUAAAGCUCCUCUCUAGAAUUUAACAUGAACUACUAAAUGUCAGGAAAAUAAAUUGCUUCCUUUGCAAGCUCUCCGGCAAGGAUAAAUUGAAAGGUACAAAAUAGAAUAAUAAGUGAAUAUCAAAGUAUGAUUUUAGGGAUAAAUCGAAAAUUAAAACCAAAACUAGAUAGAAGGCGCAUACCUCCAGAGGUGGGGAAACAGAAUAAAAAGAUUUGAAGUUCUCGGAAUAUCCUCGGCUAGGUAUAGACAUGUAUACUCUAUUAUCCAAAUCAUCACUGCCUUCUGUGAGUGUAAAGUCAAGCACUCUUUUUGCAGGCUUAAAACACGACCCAGACUUUUGGGCAGUCAUUUUCUGAAGCUUAACAUCAGAACCGAGCAACAAUCUCUCAAGUGCUGACUGUGCAGGAGUGUGUGUCAACAAUCAGACAAUGGUGGACAUUCUUUCUGCCAUGUGCUUUCACUUUCUUUGUUAUCCAGCCAGUCAGAUUCUUGCUCAGUCUCGUUAGCAACAUUCUUCUGAGAAAAGUGUCUUUUAAAAGAUGGACUCAGAUGUAAGUUGUUCAGUGACAGUUCGAUUUCAUUGGAAGUUGAUGAAAGUUCAGUUGACAAAUUUACAGGUCCAUCUUUGAAAAUCAAGUUAUAAGGUCUUUGGCUAAAGAGCUCUGAUAGUGUGGCCUCUGGAAUAUCAGUCCCCUGAUAUCCACAACAAAAAGCAAACACAAAAUUAAAAUUAAAAUCAAAAUUAAGGUGAUGAAAUCAAUUCUUCUGCAUACUUCUAAGAACAAAAAUAAAUAUAGUCGAUCUUUUAAGAGAUGGAGACAAAUGUAAGUUGUUCAGCGACAGUUCAAUUUAAUUGGAAGUUGAUGAAAGUUCUUUUGACAAAUUGACAGUUCCAUCUUUGAAAAUCAAGUCAUAAGGUCUUUGCAAAAAGGGCUCUGGUAGUGUGGCCUCUGGAAUAUCAGUCCUCUUAUAUCCACAAUAAAAUGCAAAAGAAAAAUUAAAGUGAUGAAAUCGAUUCUUUUACAUACUUCUAAGAACAAAAAUAAAUAUCGCGGAACCAGAACCAAAGAAAAGCAGUUGUCAAAAGAUAAGCAUAACCAGUAGCAAAAAAAUCUCAUAAAUCAUAAUCAUCAUUACAUUUAAAACCAAGUAUAACAUGCUUAUGUAAUCAUCAAUGAUCCAAUAUAUUUUCAACAAAUAUCAUACAACACCUUAUUAUUAUGAUUAAUACAUUUUCAACUAGUUAUAACAAGCUUCCAUCUACCUACCAUAUGGAAUCACAAAUCACAACACAGAGUACUAUGCAGAGAAUGAAAAUCUAAAUGUCACGACAGUAGUACAGAUUAAAGAAAGGGAAAUGUUAACUAGUGCCCCCGGGGCACUGGUUAAGGACUUUAAAUGGUAACCUUUUAUGAAAGUUUGUGUAAUAAAGUGCAUUGGAAAUUGAAAACUUUGACAUUUUAAAAAAAUAAUUGCUGAAUUUAGAAUGCUUAAAAAGUGUCAUGGAGGCACUCGUUAAGAUGGUGUAAAUUGCUCAUUCAAAUACAUAAACACAAUCAAUAAAAGUAACACCCCUAAAUCAAAAAAUGUUACCUCAGGAUGCAGAUUAAAGAAAUUAAUCAGCCUGUAAUUAAAAUAUCGUAUAAGAGCCAAAUCAUCAGACUGUUUGGAGUAAUCUUCUACAACGUCAAAUACCAAGGUUAUCUUCAAAUCUGGUUUCAUUCACAAGCUCUUCUUAUCAACAACAACCACCUUUUCAAUUUCUAUACUUGCAAGGAGUAUUUAUUUUAUUUGCGCUAGAUGAGCAUAAGAGAAGUUUCUGAAAACAAAACAGACUACAGUCACUUCCUUAAUCCAUCAACCAAAGGAAACGGAUCCUCUACAAUUAACACUUUGACCACGUAUGGUGAACUAUAGUGAAGUCAAUCACGGAUCUCAGAAAAAAGCAGUUUGUUCAAAUUUCGCUACACUACAGUGCCAUAGCAUUAGACUCUAUUUGACAACACUUUGAACUAAAUCACAUAUCGCGGAACAAUAUCAAUUUGUUAAAAUUCUACUUCGGUAUGGUGCUUCUAUAUGCACUACUUGAAACCACUGACACAUUUACACACAAACUCAUACACACAUACACCUUUGUAGCACCAAUAAUUUUGAUCAAAGGUGUGUCUAGUUUCCAACACUACACAUUUGAUUACAUUCAACCAUGUCACUUAUUCAUAUAAUUACUAGUGUCCACAUGUGAGUGUACAUAUAACAGUACUUCAUAGAAUGGAAAAUACACACACAUAAAGAUUAUUUUAAUGAGAGGGAAAAAUCAACAUACAACCUUAAAGUGGUUAGUAUCCAUAAAUGAAUAAAUUAAAUUUGAGGGAAUUUGAAAACAAAACAAUCACCUCUUCGCAAGAACUUCAACCUUGGUGCAAAUAUUUUUGAAAAGUUGUUGACUUUUUACGCAGAUGCAACAAUCUAAGUGCACAACUCAUAUCACUUCACAAAUCAGCAAAGGUCAUGUACCUGUAUCAAAAUAAAUACAAAACAUUCAAAAAAAAAAAACUUCAAAUUCGAUUGUUUUUCUAUAAACAUUGAAAAAAUGUUAAUUUAAUUUUGGGUUCAUAAUGGUUAAUUUAAUUUGGAAGCUGGGUGAGUGGAUUCUUGAAAUUGAUGGGUAAUAAUGGUUCAGUCUUCUUUGGAGUAAGACAUACAAUUGAUUUAUCAACUAUGUGGAGAAUCUUCUCACAGUUGAAAUCUGAAGUUUCUUUCACUGAUUAAUCCAAAAAUUCAAUAUUUGGUGAGUUAGACAUACAAAAAUUAAAUAUUUCUGCCAAAACUUGUAACAAAUUAACAUCCUACAACACUAGAGAGAAAAUUUUAUGACUAUCUGGGUAAAAUGAAUGAUAUACUUACUUCAACAUCCCGAGUGUAACACAAUGUUAGCAUCAUUCGCUGGGUUGGUGAAUCGAAUAUCCUCCAUGCUAUUUUUUUCUUUCAAUACAUGGACUCCACUAUACAUGAAUGCAGAGACACCAAAAUAAAUCUCUGCAUGGUUCCACUUAUUUUCUAAAAGUGCUUUGUCCAUAUUAUCAUUGAAGUUCUCCGUUUGCAUAUGAAAAAGAUGCAAAUGAUACAUAUCCGGCCGUUGUCUCCAACAUAUCUCUGAAUUAGAUUUAUAGAUAAAACUAUUGCCGUUGAUGCUCACUCUUAUACCAUGAUAUCCAAACCAAAAUGUCAAUGGAGAAACAACACAAAGAGCUAUGGCAGGAAAUUUGUUACGAAACCAGAAAGAAAUUGACAAUCCUGCCUCGCAUUUGUGGUCGAACCACUUUGGAAUCUUUGGAACCCGUGGCAAACGAAAGCAGGUGUUUCUAGCCUCAUGUAAUUCCUGUUAGUAAAAAAUAAUUAAUGUAAGUUUAACUAUAUCAAAAAGAAUAUAAAAUACAUUACAAACAAAAAAAAAAGAAUCAUAACCUGAUUUAGUAAUUUGCUUUUGCACGACGAAGUCAACGAUAUGCAGUGUACUGCAGAUAACACUCUUAAGCGUGGAGGAAUCCCUUUAAUUUCGUGAAGUUCCUUACAAUCAUCCAAGACAAGUUUCCAUAAAAAUUGACAUUUUUCAAUAGAUUUAGGAAUAAUUGUGAGUUGAUUGUUUGUUAGGUGUAAUUCUUUCACAUUGGCAAACAACAUAAGAGUUUUUGACAAUAAUUCAUCUGAAAGUUUAGCAUUCCUGACACAAAUAUACUUUACAUUUGAAGAUUGCAUUGAAUUCACUUUUUCUUCAUUCAUGAUGGUAAGCUUAGGAUGAUUUCCAUCUGAUCGGUUAUCAUACUGACAGUCACAUGGGUGAAAUGUUGGAGGCUGAGUAAGAUUGUGAAAUUGAAACGAUGAUUCUAUACUGGGAGUGUCAUCCAAGAGGAGUCCUGGUAUAUUUCUCAUCUCUCCCAAUAUUUCUGGAAAACUCUCAAGACUAUAACAACAUGAAAGAUUGAAAUAUUUCAAAGAAGUUAACCUGAGCUGUGGGAUACUCCUAAGCAUGAUGCAGAAUUCAAUAUUCACGAAUUUAAGUUUAUCCAACAACUCAUCCCGCACACUUGAAAAACUCUCGAGCAUAAAACAAUUUGAAAGGUCAAGUUCUUGUAGCAAAUCCAACUUAAGAGGUGGAAUACUUCUGAGAUUGUGACAAUUUUUAACAAGCAUGGUUUUAAGUUUUCCAAGAAACCCGUCAACCACAAGUGGAAAAUUCUCAAGACUAAAACAACAUGAAAGAUCAAGUGUUUCUAGUGAAUCCAACUUGAGAGGUGGAAUACUCCUGAGACUGAAACAGUUUGUAACAAGCAUGGUUUUAAGUUUUCCAAGAUACUCGUCCACCACAAGUGGAAAACUCUCAAGACUAUGACAAUCUGAAAGUUCUAGUGUUUCCAGUGAAUCCAACUUAAGAGGUGGAAUACUUCUGAGAUUGCGACAACAUUUAACAUUCAGGGUUUUAAGUUUUGCAAGAAAUGUGUCCACCACAAGUGGAAAACUCUCAAGAGUAUCACAACAUGAAAGUUCUAGUGUUUCUAGUGAAUCCAACUUGAGAGGUGGAAUACUCUUGAGACUGUGACAAUUUUUAACAAGCAUGGUUUUAAGUUUUCCAAGAUACUCGUCCACCACAAGUGGAAAACUCUCAAGACUAUGACAAUUCGAAAAUUCUAGUGUUUCUAGUGAAUCCAACUUGAGAGGUGGUAUAAUUCUGAGAUUGCGACAACUCUUAACUUUCAAGGUUUUAAGCUUUGCAAGAAAUAUGUCCACCACAAGUGGAAAACUCUCAAGAGUAUCACAACCUGAAAGUUCUAGUGUUUCUAGUGAAUCCAACUUGAGAGGUGGAAUACUUUUGAGAUUGUGACAAUUUUUAACAAGCAUGGUUUUAAGUUUUCCAAGAUACUCGUCCACCACAAGUGGAAAACUCUCAAGACUAUGACAAUCUGAAAGUUCUAGUGUUUCUAGUGAAUCCAACUUGAGAGGUGGAAAACUUCUGAGACUGCGACAGCUUGUAACAAUCAUGGUUUUAAGUUUUCGAAGAUACUCUUCCACCACAAGUGGAAAACUCUCAAGACUAUGACAAAAUGAAAGUUUUAGUGUUUCUAGUGAAUCCAACUUGAGAGGUGUAAUACUCAUGAGACUGCGACAGUUUGUAACAAGCAUGGUUUUAAGUUUUCCAAGAUACUCGUCCACCACAAGUGGAAAACUCUCAAGACAAUGACAAUCUGAAAGUUUUAGUGUUUCCAGGGAAUCCAACUUGAGAGGUGGAAUACUUCUGAGAUUGCGACAACAUUUAACAUUCAGGGUUUUAAGUUUUGCAAGAAAUGUGUCCACCACAAGUGGAAAACUCUCAAGAGUAUCACAACAUGAAAGUUCUAGUGUUUCUAGUGAAUCCAACUUGAGAGGUGGAAUACUCUUGAGAUUGUGACAAUUUUUAACAAGCAUGGUUUUAAGUUUUCCAAGAUACUCGUCCGCCACAAGUGGAAAACUCUCAAGACUAUGACAAUCUGAAAGUUCUAGUGUUUCUAGUGAAUCCAACUUGAGAGGUGGAAUACUCUUGAGAUUGUGACAAUUUUUAACAAGCAUGGUUUUAAGUUUUCCAAGAUACUCGUCCGCCACAAGUGGAAAACUCUCAAGACUAUGACAAUUUGAAAGUUCUAGUGUUUCUAGUGAAUCCAACUUGAGAGGCGGAAAACUCCUGAGACUGCGACAGCUUGUAACAAUCAUGGUUUUAAGUUUUCGAAGAUACUCUUCCACCACAAGUGGAAAACUCUCAAGACUAUGACAAAAUGAAAGUUUUAGUGUUUCUAGUGAAUCCAACUUGAGAGGUGGAAAACUUCUGAGACUGCGACAGCUUGUAACAAUCAUGGUUUUAAGUUUUCGAAGAUACUCUUCCACCACAAGUGGAAAACUCUCAAGACUAUGACAAAAUGAAAGUUUUAGUGUUUCUAGUGAAUCCAACUUGAGAGGUGGAAUACUCCUUAGCUUGAUGCAAUGUCUAACACUCAUUAUUUUAAGCUUAUCACCAAAGUCAUCUAUCACAGGUGAAAAAUUCUCAAGAUUACUACACUCUGAAAGAUAGAGUUCUUCUAGAGAAGGUAACAUGAGAGGUGGAAUAAUUCUGAUUUCGGUGCAUUUUACAAUUCUCAAAAUUUUAAGGUUACCUAAAAAACCUAUCGAUUUAUCAAUUGCAAUUAGUGUCUUACAAUAUUGUAUUGAAAAUUCUUCUAAAUUUAGGAGACCAGAUAUAUCAGGUAUUUGUGCUAAAUCUUGACUUCUAUUGAGAUUUAAAACUCUCAUAUUCUGGAAUUUCUGCAAAAAAAUGGAAAUAGAAAACAUUGCAAAUAAAUAACUAAUAUUAAACCAUAUUUAUUAAUUUAAGAUAAGAGAUAUAAAUAUGUUACACUUGCCUUUGUGAGAAAGCCCUCCCACUCCAAUGGAUUGAGCUUGCUACAUUCCAGCACUCUUAGACUAUUUGGAAGAUGUUUGGGAUUUUCACAUAAAUAAACUUUAUUACCAAAAAUUAGUGUUUUAAGAUUCUCCAUCUUCUUGAAAGCUUCUCCAUCCCAUUCCACUUUAACCCAACUGUCCAAAUGUAUGAUUUCAAUUUUACUUGUUCCCUAAAAAGAAAAAAGGACAAAUCAACCGAAUAUAUAGUAGUACUUUAUACCAAGUAUUUAGAUAUCUUUAAAUACUAUUGAGAGUUUAAUUUAUAUAGACUCUUAGUGUUAAAAAGUUAUACACAUGCAUUCAUAAUUAUGUUUGGGUUUUUGAGAAAAAUCAGCAGGCAUAAUUAUUAGUGUUUUGAGAUUAUUCAUCCUCUUGAAAGCUUCUCCAUCCCAUUUUACUCUAUUCCAACAGUUGAAAUGUAUGAUUUCAAUUUGAUCUGUUCCCUAUACACAAAAACGGACAAAUCAAACAAUAUAUGUUUGUAAAAAAAUACACGAAUAUAUGUUAGAACUUUACGUUUUUUUUUUUUUGUUGAGAUGUUUUAAUCAUGAAUUUGAGAUGUUACACCACGUAUUUAAAGAUCUUGAAAUAUUAUUAAGUGUUCAACUUUACCCUUAUGUAAAUUGUAUGUUAAAAAGUUAUAUACAUACAUUUAAUCCAUCAAUUAAUAUAUGAUAAAUCAUAUGUUUUUAAUUCAUUAAAUGUAUGACAACACAUUUUUUAAGGUAUGAGUAAAAAAAAAUUACACUCAUCUACAUAUAAAUUAAACUCAUAAAGGUAAAAAAAAAAUUGUGAUAUUGUGACGAUUAAUAACAUUAAGGUUUAUUAGAUCAUUUGGUCCCUUAUUUAAUUUCAUGUUUUCAUUUUGAUCCCAUAAUUAAUAAAAAUGGCGUUUUAGUCCCUCACAUUUUCCUCCAUUUUGCAAAUAAAUCUCAACUGUUAAAUUUAAUCCAAAAUGUAUAUUGUGGACCAACAUUAUAGAUGGUUCAUUGUAGACUUUAUUAAUUUUAUUCAAUGUUAGCCCUUUGAUUAUAUUGAACAUAAAGGGACCAUUGGAUUAUCAAUUGAUUUUACCUCACAAGUUCAAUUCCACGGUAUUUGUAUUUGUUUUUACAAAUUAUGUUAUAUAAUACAUUGAACCAGGGGCAUCAAGGUUAAAACAAAGAAGCCUCGCCACCAAACCAUUAUAUUUGUCUUAUUUUGAAUUAGAACAUAUAUAUCAUAUAAUAUGAGUAAAUAGUCAAUUUCCCUCUUGAAAUUGUAGGUUUCGUCAAUUACCUCCCUGAUAUUAACAAAACUUCAAUUACCCCCUUGAAAUUGCAUAACGUUAAUCAAUUUACCCCCUCCAUCAAAUUUUUCUGUUAACAGUUUACGGUUAUGAUCAAAUACCCCCCGAAAUUUUGCACUUAUGUACAAAAUGCCCCCUAAACUUUAAAUAUUUAUAUUUUUUUAUCCUUGUCUCAAAAGAUAUUAAAGACAAACAAAUUAACAAUUAUUGAUCAUAUAAAUAUGUAUGGAAUGUAUGUUUAUGCAGCUAUUGGUUAUAUAAAUCUUGGAUAAUGAUAAAUAGUACGGGACGGUGAGCACGAAAAUUAACGAAAGUAGUUAUUGCUUGCCAUUUAGUCAUGUUUUCCGUAAAUUGGUUGUUUUUAAUACUUCUCAUGUUAUAAUUGUCAAGCUUUUUAUUAGCCAUUACCCAUGAUUUCCGUCAAAGCAUACUAUAUCAGUUUUUAAUUUCAUAAAAAUUGGACAAGUUGGGCAUUCGUCUAUUUUCGUACGUGCAUUUUUUCGUACCAUAUAGCAUUGCUGAUAAAUCUUUAUGGAAGGUAUGUUACUCUCAUGUGUUUUAAAUAUAUACAUAUAUAGAGGACUUUUUUUUACAGAAGUUGAUAAUUAUGUUAGAGUAUGCAGUCAUAAAGUACACAAAUCUUUGAUAAUUGUGUUGUCCAUAAAGAAAAUUAAUAGGUUAAUAUAUGCAGAAGGAAGAAGAAACAAGGCUUGUUGAUAAAUAUGAAAUAUGAAUGAAAAGGCUGCGCAUGACAAACCCAUGAUUUCUUUGGCAUAUAUUCAUUCAUUUUCUUGUGAAUAGAAUUUUUAUGCCAAUAGGUACAAUAUACUACUUAAAGAACUAAAUGUAUGAUUUUUUGUAAGAAAAAAAUCUAAAUUUUUAAGUUUAGGGGGCAUUUUGCACAUAAGUGCAAAAUUUCAGGGGAGGUAUUUGAUCAUAACCGUAAACAGUUAACGGAAAAAUCUGACGGAGGGGUAAAUUGAUUAACGUUAUGCAAUUUCAGGGGGGUAAUUAAAGUUUUGUUAAUUUCGAGGGAGUAAUUGACGAAACUUACAAUUUCAGAGGGGAAAUUGACUAUUUACUCCAUAUAAUAUAUGCUUUUUAUAGAUAAAAAAAAUAUGGUUGGGCUGAUGUGGCAUUAGCCACACCUAGCCUCACAAAUUCGCCCCUGAGCAUAUGCAACGACACGUUCUAAAACAUGCAUUUGUUCUAACGAAAUACUAUUAUUAUAGCUCAGACUAAAUCCAUCUUUAAAAGCUUUCCGUCUAACCAAACUCAAGAACAUCUUUUUCAUUCAACCCCUUCACCUCAUAUGUAAGUUCAACCCCAUGACAUGUUAGCAAGCUUUUGUCCCGAAUUGUGACGAUGAUUCGACUUAAGGAACUAAACCAUUUGUGUUUUCCAGCCAGAGCUUCUAAUUGCUCUAGCUUGUUAACAUCGUCUAGAAUCAAAAGCAACUUCUUUGGCUGGACCCUUUGCUCCAAUAUAGAAAUUCCUUGUACAACACCUGUUAACUCCUUAUUCUCCCCCAACUACUUUAAGAAUGAUCUUUUAGGAGAUACAACAAACCAUGUUUUUAAGAAUUUUCUCUACCAUGUAGGCAAUCAAAUUAUAGACAGAUAAAGUAAGAGUUGCUUUCCCUAUUCCACCAAUCCCAUGGAUCCCUACCAUGUGGUAUCAUCAGACCCAAGAUUCAAAAGGAAAGUUACAUGUUGCUUUUGCUGCUCCAGUCCAAGUAGGUAAGGCAAUGAGUUUUAUAUUUCCUAUGAUAUGUUCAACAAUCUCUCCAAUAAAUUUAUGCUCAAACUUAUCCCUAUUCCAAUAAGAGAAAAGAUGUUAUUCAAAUGCUUAUAUUAGGCUUAAUUGUGUUUUUCAUCCUCCAUAUAUCGCGAUUGUGUGGCUUUAGUCCCCAUUUUUUGAAGGAAUUUUGCCCCUUAUGUUUUCAUCAUGAUUUGAUAGUCUCCUUCCCAAAACUUACCUUGAUUUGACAUUAUUUAUUGAUGUAAUAGUCAACUCUUAUAAACAUGUGAUUUUUCUUUAUGUUUAAAAAAAUACCAAAAAUCAGCUUCUACACUUGAGACCUGAGAGCAAAUGGAACUUGUAAUAAGGGUGUCAGACAUUUUGUCAUGUUCUGAAGUUUUUCUUUUUUAUUUUAAAGAAAAGUAAUUAGUUGAGUGUCAUGUUAAUACAUGAUGUCACCGCAACUUAAUUUUGGAGGAAACUUGGGAAGGAGACUACCAAAUCACAAUGGAGGAAAAAAUCAAAAAAAAUUCAAAUUACACUUCGUCCUAUUUUUUCUUAUCAUUCUUUUUCCUAUUUUUCACACUUCUUCCGUUCUAACAUACCGCAGUUUUACAAUAUGCAUUAUUUAUUUAACUUAUUUUGACCAUAUUAGUAUGUAAGAUGUCGUACGAUUUGUUUCAAUGAAUAUUUUUAAAUUUCAAAUUUUUAUUGAUAAUUUUUAUAAUGGUCAAAAUCAUAUAUUGACAUGUGUUAAGUGGUUAAUUGUGACAUACAUUUAGAAACAAAAUGAGUAUUAAUUAAGCUUCUAUGAGUCGGCAUUUUUUGAUUGUGUGGUAUGUUCUGUGUAAUUAUUAAUAUGUUUACAUUUAUUUUAAUUCCAAUUGGUUUUUCAUUAUUAAAUGAAUUAAAAAAAUUAUUUUUCAAAUAUGACUCAGCGCAUUAUUAAAUGAAUUAGAAAAAAUUCUAAAUUUGCGACUUUUUUUAAUUCUGAAAAUUAAUUUCCAGAUUUUUUAUAUUUUUACAAAGAAAAAAAUUUCAAUCUCAAAAGGAAAACUUGAAGAUCAAUUUUUUAUUUUCGAAAAGUAUUAUCUAAUUUUUUGUUUUUUUUAAUCACAAAAAAUAUUUUCCAGAAUUAUUAUUUUUUGUAGAAAAAUAAAAAAAAACUUUUUUUUUGAAAAAAAUCUGAACUUUUUUAAUUUCGAAUUUGUUUAACUAAUUUUUGUUUUGUUUUUAUUUUGAAAAUUAAGUUCCAGAAUUUUUUAUUUUUUUAAGAAAAAAAUCUGAAUUUUUUUAAAAUUUUCGUAAUUAAUUAUCUGAUUUUUUUUUUAAUUUUUUUUUAUUUUUAAGUUAAUUUAAAUGAAAACCCAAUUAGGAUUUAAAUAAAUCUAAAAAUUUUAUAAUUACACAAUCAACAUGUCACAUAAUUAAAAAAUGCUAACUCAGUGCGCCACAUAAACAUAAAUAUAUAGUUAGCUGUCUUAAGUGUCUAAAGCUAAAGAAUCUUCAUAUUAUGGAUAUGGAAUUUAAACUUCUUUUAUAGGACAAAACAAAAAAUGAUCUAUAUAAAACACGGUUAACCUUUAAUUCAAAACCAGAUUCAACUGCAAAUCACUUUAUGAUAAGAAACCAUAUUUUUAAUCAAUUCAUAUUCUGUUAUGGUUUGUUUAAAACUCCAAAUCACUUCGUUUUCUUAAUCGAUUCGAAUUCUUCUAUUCUUCUUUUUAAUUAAUUAUGUUGGUUCUUUUUUUUUUUUUUUGGUUUGAAUUAUCGGUUUGGGUUUUGUGGUUAUCUUUUGUCCCUUUGCUUUAGUAUCGAUUUGAAUUCUUCUAUUCUUCUUUUUAAUCAAUUAUGUUGGUUUUUUUUUUUCUUUUUUCUGUUUGAAUUAUCGGUUUAGGUUUUGUGGUUAUCUUUUGUCCCUUUGCUUUAGUGGUAGGUAGUGUAGUGUAUCAGUUUUGGAGGUUGGUACUUCGUAGAAGGAAUUUUUGUUAUUGGCUUUGUUCUUCUAUUUUGGUCCUAUAGUUAAAUUUUUUUUUUUUUUUUUUUAAUCAUAGUCCUAUAGUUAAUUUUUUUUUUUGGGAUCAUGGUCCUAUAGUUAAAUAAAAAGACAUUUCUUACGUAAUUAGAAAGUGUGCACCAAAGCAUUAUAAGAUAUAAUAUUGUUAUCAUAUUUCUUUUAUCAGAUGCGCACCAAACAUAUGAUAGGAUAAGUAUAUAUUAUAUCAUUAUCAUAUCAUAUCAUAAUCCAACCUACCAUAUCAUUUCUUUAUCAUAUUAUACGCAUUAAACAAGUACUAAGAGUUUAAGUUAUAUACAUCUUAAUCAUCAGUGUUAGAAAGUUUUACACAUACAUCUAAUGAUAUGUUUUCACAUCAAUUAAUGAUAUAUGAUAAAUCAUGUGUUUUUAAUCCAUUAAAUGAAAUGAUGUAGCAACAUAUUAUUUGAAUGUAUGUAUAAAAAACAAUUACACUAACGCCGCAUAUAAAUUAAACUCGUAUAAAGGAAAAAAAUUGUGACAAUUAAUAACAUUAUUAAUGCAUAAAGCAAAAAAGGUAACUUAGCGCUAGGAUUAACAAUAGUAACUCACCUUAUUUUCUUCUAAAACUUUUUGUAUAUCUUUAGGGUCCCAUAACCUACUGCGUUCUCCCGGAUUAUUUGGUGACUCUUGUCUAACAAUUUCUUUUCCCAUAUCUUCUAGCAAAUCAUGUAAUGCUACAUAACCAAACCCAUCUAUUUUUAUGAGAGAUUUUUCCACUAACACAUUAAUGUGAUCUUUCAUGUUAUCACCAUGAUGAACAUGAAGUAUUUCUUCGACCCUUGUUAAUUUCCAUCCUUUGAAGCAACAAGCAAUGUCAAGAAAAACAAACUUCUCUUCGUCCUCCAGAGCAUCAAAGCUCACUUGUAGUGUCAUUUGGAUCUUUUUAUGAGGAAUUUUUUCGUAACGAUCUAGUGCAUCUUUACAUUGUUCUAUUGUCUUAUUAGAAAAGUGAGAACCCAUGACUUCCAAAGCGAGUGGAUGACCAGAGGCAUAUGUUACAACACGUUCUAAAACAUGCAUUUUUUCUGUUGAAACAUUUUUGUAGCUUGGACUAAAUUCAUCUUUAAAAGCUUUCCUUCUAACCAACUCAGCAGCAUCUAUGUCAUUCAACCCCUUCACCUCAUAUUUACAUUCAAUCCCAUGACAUGUUAGCAACCUUUUGUCCCGAGUUGUGAUGAUGAUUCGACUUGAGCGAUUAAACCAUUCGUGUUUUCCAGCCAGAGCUUCUAAUUGCUCUAACUCAUUAACAUCGUCAAGAAUCAAAAGUAUCUUCUUUUGCUUGAGCAUCUGUUCCAAUUUUGAAAUCCCAUUUAGAACACUUGUUAACUCCUUUUUCUCCCCAACUACUUUAGAAAGAAUGAUCUUUUGGAGAUAUGGUAACCCAUGUUUUUCAUGACUUUCUCUAACAUUUUCAACAAAACAUGAAACCUCAAAUUCAUUGGCAAUCAAAUUAUAAACAGAAAUAGCAAGAGUUGUUUUCCCUAUUCCACCAAUCCCGUAGAUCCCUACCAUACAUGCUUUAUCAUCCGACCCAACAUUCAAAAGGGAAAUCACAUGUUGCUUUUGGUGCUCCAAUCCAACUUUGUAAUCACCAACAGGCAAUGCAACAGGUUCUAUAUUUCCUAAAACUUUUUCAACAAUCUCCCCAAUAAACUUAUGCUCAGGCAUAUCCCUGUCCAAUAUGAGAAAAGAGGUCAUUCAAGUGCAUAUAUUAGGAUUAAUUGUGUUUUUCAUCCUCUAUCUACAGCGACCGUACAAUUGCCGUCUCCAUUUUUUUAGGAGUUUACAUUUUGACAUUUUUUUUGAGUUUUAUUUUUAAAUUUUAAAGGAAAAUCAUUAAUUGAGUGUUAAGUUAAUAAAUGAUGUCACAAUAAUAUAUAUUUGGAUGAAACUGAGGAAGGAGACUACCAAAUUACAAAGGAGGAAAACGGGGCAAAAUCGCUCAAAUUGUGCUAUGCUUUGUUUGUUGUUUGAGAUUUUGAAAAAUGAAUUAAGAAAUAUAAUUACCAUAGAUGUUUUAAUAAAAGGAACUUUGUUUAGUUUCUUAUCAUUCUCUUUACCGCUAUUAGCGUUUAGACGGCACAAGUGCCGUCUUUUUUUUUUUUUUUUUUUUUUUGCGCUAAUGCGAUAAAUUACCAAUAUUAUUUAUGAAAUGUUGAUUAAAAUUAAAGGUAUAUAUAUUACAUAUUUUACACUUUCAUAUUGCAACAAACUAUAUUUAUUUUUUUCUAUGAUAUCAAAAAUAUAAAAAAUCUUUCAGAGACAAAAAAACAAUAUAACAAAUAAGGUUAAAUAUAUUUUUUGUCCCUAUAAUAUACAAACUUUUCGUUUUAAUCCAUCUAAAAUUUUUAUUCAACUUGAAGUCCCCAAAUCCAUCUUCACUUUUGGCUCAUCCUUUUAAAUAAACUCAUAUGUAGAAUUUAUAUUUUUGAUUAAAAUGUUGCAGAAUAGUUUAUAAUAUAAUCUCUCAAAAAAAUUAGAAAUUUUUAACUAAACAUGAAUUAAAUAAGAGUUUUUCAAUUUUUUACGGUUAAAUAUUAAUAUUUUGUUAAAAAAUUAUAUUUUUUUUGAAGAUUUUGACAAUAUUAUAUACAUUUCUUCACAUUUCAUUAAAAGUUACAAAGUUUACGGGAGUUGACUUAAAAAUAAGAACCAAAAGUAAUUAUUGAAAUUUGUAUAGAACCUAAAAGUCGAUGAUAUUUUUUAAAGGGACUAAAACGAAAAGUAGAUAUAUUUAUAGGGAUCAAUAUUUAACCUUAACAAAUAUAAUAUAAAUUCUUAUCUUUUUUAAUGAAAUCAACAAAAUAACUAUUUUAUAGUCAAAUUUGUUUAAGGUAUAAAAUCACAACCAAACGAACCAAUAUAUUUUUUCCUAGAGGAAUGCUAAUGACACUUUCAUAGCAUUCAGACUUUUACUGAAUAAAAUUAAUGUAUGACCCAUCAGUUCGAUCAAAUCGAAUCCGUAUCUAAAAUAUAAGAUUACUUUGAUUUACUAAUCUUAUGUAAUGAACCUGGAUAAGAAACUGCCACGUCAGACAUCUUAGGUGUAAGGGGUUAUAAGAAUGAGAAGGGAAAUGGAAAGGGGGUGUGAAAUAUGUGAUGAUCUCAUUUCUCUUCUAAUCUCUCUCUUUCUCUUUUGUGUACCUCUGUACCUUCAUAAUUUUCUGCAAUUACUUGUUAUUGAACAAUCCAUUAAACACUGUACUAAAUUCCCCAUUAUUCAAGUUUAGUUCCUUUGAAUAUUUGUACCAUCAUUACAUCUUACUCUAUUUUUCUAUGUAGUUGGUGUAAGUGGUAAAGAUUAACUCACAUGAUCUGGAUUUAAUUUUUUUUUAAUGAGAAGAUAACUUAGGUAGAUAAUUUAUAAAGGGUUUGUCUGACAUAUAUAAUAUUGCAUAUGUUAAAGCUAUUAAAAUUAAUAAGUUUUUAUUGAAAAACAACAGUUAUUUAUUAAAAAGUUAUAUAUUUAAUAUAAAUUAUAAAAACCUCUAUAAAUUUUCAAUUCAUAUGAACUAUCCGUCAAAUUGUAAGUAUCCUUUUUUUAUAUUUAAAAAUCUUAAAUUAUUUGUAACUAAAUUAUCAUUAAUUAUUUAUUAAAGAGUUUAUUGUUUGUGAGUUGGGUUUCGGAGGGGAGGGGAGGGGAAGGAAAUGUUUAUGGAGUGUAAACCCUUGUUUGCGAGUUUUAAAAAAACAAGGGAAAGGUUUUGGGGGGGUUUUGAAGGGCUUUGUCCAAUUUUAAAGUUCCCCCAAAUUGGAGGGUUUUGGGGGGUUAAACAUAUAAAUUGACAAUUUUGUCCUCUUAAUAAUUCCAAAUUCCAAUUUUAGACAUUACUAAAAUUAUUACAAUCUUUUUAAAAAAAAACUUAUUCAAAACAACUUAUUUAUAUAAAAGAGCUUAUUAAGACCUCAUUUUCAAAAACUGCUUAUUUAAAACAACUUAUUACGACCUCAUUUUAAUAAAAAAAACUUAUUCCAAACAACUUAUUUAUACAAAACAGCUUAUUACGACCUCAUUUUCAAAACAGCUUAUUUAUCCAAAACAGCUUAAUACGAUCUCUUUUUCAAAAACAGCUUAUUCAAAACAGCUUAUUUAUAUAAAACAACUUAUUACGACCUCAUUUUCAAAAACCGCUUAUUCAAAACAACUUAUUUAUACAAAACAGCUUAUUACGACCUCAUUUUCAAAAACCGCUUAUUCAAAACAACUUAUUUAUACAAAACAGCUUAUUACGACCUCAUAUUCAAACACAGCUUAUUCAAAACAACUUAUUUAUGAAAAACAGCUUAAUAUGAUAUCUUUUUCAAAAACAGCUUAUUCAAAACAACUUAUUUAUACAAAACAAUUAUUACGAAACAGCUUAUUAAUAAGCUAUUUUGAAUAAGCUGUUUUGUAUAAGCUGUUAUUUAAACAAAACAGCAUAUUACGACCACAUUUUCAAAAACCACUUAUUCAAAACAACUUAAUUAUACAAAACAGGCUUAACAUGACCUCAUUUUGAAAAAUAGCUUAUUCAAAACAACUUAUUAAAGCAAAGCAGCUUAAUACGAUCUCUUUUUUAAAAACAGCUUAUUUAUAUAAAACAGCUUAUUACGACCUCAUUUUCAAAAACCGCUUAUUCAAAACAUCUUAUUACGACCUCAUUUUAAAAAAAAAAAAAAAACUUAUUCAAAACAUCUUAUUUAUACAAAACAGCUUAUUACGACCUCAUUUUCAAAAACAGCUUAUUCAAAACAGCUUAUUUAUGCAAAACAACUUAAUUCGAUCUCUUUUUCAAAAACAGCUUAUUUAUACAAAACAACUUAUAACGACCUCAUUUUCAAAAAUCGCUUAUUCAAAACAACUUAUUUAUACAAAACAGCUUAUUACGACCUCAUUUUCAAAAACAGCUUAUUCAAAACAACUUAUUUAUAUAAAACAGCUUAUUACGACCUCAUUUUCAAAAACCGCUUAUUCAAAACAACUUAUUUAUACAAAACAGCUUAUUACGACCUCAUUUUCAAAAACAGCUUAUUCAAAACAACUUAUUUAUGAAAAACAGCUUAAUACGAUAUCUUUUUCAAAAACAGCUUAUUCAAAACAACUUAUUUAUACAAAACAGCUUAUUACGACCUCAUUUUCAGAAACAGCUUAUUCAAAACAACUUAUUUAUGAAAAACAGCUUAAUACGAUAUCUUUUUCAAAAACAGCUUAUUCAAAACAACUUAUUUAUACAAAACAGCUUAUUACGAAACAGCUUAUUAAUAAGCUAUUUUGAAUAAGCUAUUUUGUAAUAAGUUGAAAAAGCUAUUUUUGAAAAAGAGAUUGUAAUAAGUUGUUUUAUAUAAAUAAGCUAUUUUGAACAAAUUUUUUGAAAAGAGGUCGUAAUAAGCUGUUUUGUAUACAUAAGUUGUUUUUGAAAAAGAGAUCGUAUUAAGCUGUUUUGAAUAAGCUAUUUUUUUUUAAAGAGGUCAUAAUAAGCUGUUUUGUAUAAACAAGCUGUUUUGAAUAAGUUGUUUUUUAAAAAAAGAUCGUAAUAAUUCGUUUUUUCAUAAGAUAAGCUGUUUUUUAAAAAGAGGUCGUAAUAAGUUGUUUUGUAUAAAUAAGUUGUUUUUAAAAAGCGAUUGUAAUAAGUUUUGUUUUUUUUUUUUAUAAAUAAGUUGUUUUGAAUAAGUUUUUUUAAAAAUAGAUCGUAAUAAUUUGUUUUUCAUGAGAUAAAUUGUUUUGAAUAAAUUAGAAGUUAAAUUACGAAGUAUAACAAUGUAUUGAUUUUAAGAGGAAAAAUGGUAAAAUAGUAAAAUUAUAACAUAAGCCCUCAACUUCCUUUCCUUAUUGGCUUUUUAACUCCUAAACAAGGGGAAUGUUUUCCCUCCUUUCUCCCUUCCCUCCCUUUCCUUCCCUUUCCCUUCUUAGUCUUUCCUUUCCUUCCCCUCAAAACUCGCAAAUAAAGCCUAAAGAGUUUAUUGUUUUCAAUUCAAGUGACUAUUUUUUGAUGGACAAAUGAAAUAAAAAACAGAACAUAGGAAUAUACCGUUUCUUCUUGUAAUGAAAUCCAGACAAAUCAGCUACUUGGUGAAGACACACCUUCCAUUUAUCAAGAUUUGAGUUGGCCUUAUGUUUAUCCAUUGCUUCUCCAUAACUCUUUUCUAACUUCCGUAUAACAGAGGGAUCCACCUUAUAAAAUACCGGCAAAACGGAACGUCCUUUAUCUUUGAUGGAAUGAAGGAUAUGAGAAAGUUCUUGUAAGCAAAAGGAGGAAGAAGCAUAAUUCUUAGAAAGGACGACGAUGGCGAUUUGGGAGUCUUCAAUUGCUUUGAGAAGUGAUGGUGUGAUUUCUUCGCCUUUUUGAAGCUCCUCAUCGUCCAUGAAAGUUCUAACUCCUUUGUCAUCUAGAGCUUUCUUGAGAUAGCUUGUGAAACCAUAACGAGUAUCCUCACCUCGAAAGCUGAGAAAAACAUCAUACUUGAAUCGAUUUGUGACUGUGAGGGGAGCCAUGAUGAGUGAAUGAGUUGGUUUGAUGAAUAUUAGUAUUCAGAUUCAAAGGAAAGAACAGUUGUUUAUAGAAAAUUGAGCUAGGAUGAAUGUGAAUUAUGCAGAGUGUACUGAACUUAAAGGACUUUGGAGUAUCUAUAAAGUCAUGAAAGUGGGACUGCCUUGUCACCAGUUGAGGCAAUUUCCGGGCAAUUUCCCCGAAUUGAUUAAGCAAAAUAAUUUCAAGGGGCAGAUUUAAAAGUGAAAUAAUCCCCGUGAACUUAGCUCAGUUGGUACGGAUAUUACAUAUUAUAUGCAGGGGCCCGGGGUUCGAAACGCGGACACCUCACUUCUCCGCAAUUAAAUUGUGUGAGCUUUAGCCACUAGUCUCCUUGAUCCAAAAAAAGUGAAAUAAUGUUAAAGCUGCUGGGACAUUAUACGAGUGAAAGUGAAAUUCUCGUGUUGUCAGUAGAGGAGGAAAAGUGAAAUUCUCGUGUUGAUUAAACAAAAAUGUUUGGACAUUAUAUUUAUACGAGUGUUGUAUUACCAUUUUUUUUGAUAAUUAUCUCUCACGUACUAAUGUUAUUUUCCUAUUUCAUCUCUCCUCUUUUUCUUUUUCUAUUAUUUUAGUCUAAUAAAAAGAGAGAAAAAUAAAAUGUACCAAAAGUUAUGAGAUAUACGUAUAGUUUUAUACCCCGUGAAACUUUAAGUUGAAUCAAUCAUUUACACAAUUGAAUAAUCACAUGAAUUGAAUAAGAUCCCGUUUGGAUAAAUAGUUUAUACACGGGCUUAUAACAUUAGAGUUUAUAGAACUAGAGCUUACAUAAGCUCUUAUACUCAAUAAACUUUUUAUGUUUGAAUAUGUACAUUAAAAAGUACUUAUAUAAAUUGAAAUGUUUGAAAAUGUCACUACAUAAGCAAAUAUGAAAUGUUAAAAUAUUUUUAAUUUAACAUAUAUAUAAUCAAAGAAUCAAACCACGAUUAUAAAGAUGAAAAAAAAAACAAUAUUAAUAUAUAUAUAUAUUAACUUUCUGUUUAGUCGCUCUAAAAGUUGUUUUCGAUUUUUAGUCUCUAAAAAAAAUUUCAUCUUCACUUCUAGUCUCUCAUUUUAAGUAAACUUAUAUGUAGAAUUCAUAUUUUUGCAGAAAGGAGAAAAGAGGAACUUAUUUACCCAAAAACAAAAAAUCGGCAAGAAAGGAUGUGGAACGGCCAUUUGGAGUGCUUCAAUCUCGAUUUGCAAUUGUACAUGGUCCGGCCAGUGCUUGGCACAUGGCUACAAUCAAACAUAUAAUAUAUGCAUGCAUCAUAUUACAUAAUAUGAACGUUGAAGAUGAACGACACACAUAUGAUGGUAAUUUUGAGUAUGAUAACCCAAACAAUGACAUCGCCACAACUGAAGUAUCCAAUGCUCCUCAUUCUGAUUUCAUCACAUACUUGCAAAGGAGAGCACAUGUUCAUGAAAGAGAAAAACAUCGACAAUUGCAGGGAGACUUGGUGGAACAUAUUUGGUCAUGUUUUCAGGCAUGAUAAUAAUGAAAACUAAUUUUUCAUUUUUUUAUGUAUUUCUAUUUGGUUGAACUUGUUCUCAAUAAAUUAUGUAUUUCUUUUCAUAAUUAGAUAAUAUAUCUAUUUUUCCGUUAUUUAAUAUUUUUAGAAAAAAAUUAUAUAUAAAUAAGAAUUUCAUUUUGAAAAAUAUUAUAAUAAAAUAAAAAUAUGUGAGGUCAAUUGUAGGACCAUAUAAUGUAAGUUAAGAACACAAAUAUUGUACUUUGCAUUGGACUAAAAAUGAAAGAAAGUUCUUAAUAUAUAAAGCCUCCAAUUACCAACUUAUUGGUUUCUUAUAUUCUUUUAUAGAAACCAAAAUAGUUAAAUGUCAUAUAUUCUUCCACUCUAAAAAUGAAAGUUUUAUUUGGAUCCAUCGAAGGCAGUAAGUUUAAGAGACAUAUGUUACCAUUUAACUUCAAAAUCCAAGCACUUAAAGUGUGAUACAUUCUGAUAAGAAUCCAUUUAUAGAUCACAGUUAAGUUAGCUGAAAUAAUGCUAAUAUGCAUGCAAGUGUGAUACAUUCUUAUACAAUGAUCUGUUAGAUUUAAUUAGUUGUUUUGAAAAUUCAGUCAUGUUGAUAAAACUGAGUGCCAUUUUCCAUGAGCAGUGUGGCAAGAUUCAUGCAAUUGUAAGGAAGCAUCUGCUGCCAAUUUUUAAGGAUCAAAUUGAAGAGGGCGCGCAACUUAUGUUAUGGAGAAAUUCAUGGUUGCCCAAAAUGAUCCUACCUCCAAAACAACCGAUCAUAAGAAUAAGUUGAGCUUUAUGGCAGAAAUCAAUUUUUUCAAGGUUAAUGCUGCAGAAAUCCCAGAAAGAGUUUUCAACUUGUGCCUUUCCUUGAUAUCUUAGCUGCCCAUAGGGAGGACCGUUUGCUUGGUAGUUUUCUAUAUUUUUUUAAUUCAAUUUUCUAGACUUUCUUUUAGUUUUAUCAGAUGUCAUUUACCUAUAGUUUGAAUGUAUUCAAUAGAUGUGAUUGGUCUUUGUGUUUCUGAAUAAUUCUAAUUGCAACAACUUUGUUGAAUUAGAGUUUGCCAUAUUUCAUGAGUUUCUUUUUUAUUUUGCACUUCAAUGGAGUCAUGUUUUUCCCCUCAACUUAUGGUGAUUUGUUUAUAUUUCAUGGAAUUCAGGCAAAGCUAAGAGAGGUUCCAUCUUUGGAGGGACAUGUUCUUUUGAAGAAGCAAAGAGAUGCAUUAGAAUAUUUGAAAGGCCGUUUUACAGGAAGAAAUAAAGAGGAUGUGGCAAAUUCUAUCUCUAUGGUUUGUUAUUUUAUACUACUCCAUGCUCUUGAGUCUUGUGUACUUUACUUUGUUCAUUGUUUGAAUUCGUAUUUCUGUUCAUUCCCUGUGGUGACCGAAAAAAAAAAUCGAAUCUUCCUGAUUUUUUGAGUUUCUAGGCUCGCUCUUUUCGAGAAUAUCAAUUUUUUCUUUAUAUUCACAUAUUUCAGUGACUCUAUUUCAAAGUGCAUUACAAAAAUUCUUAUUCCUCUUAAUCAAUCCAUGUUACUCCAUAAUUAACAAUAUAUUAUUCACAGGUGGAAGCUUUAGCCGUUAAGUUGACUCAGAAGAAUGAAGGAGAAUUGAUUCAAGAGAAGUUCAAAGUGAAAAAGCUUUUGAAUUUUCUCAAACAGGUCUUAUUUGACACCUAAACCUUUAUUUUUCUAAAGGAAUAUAUAGAAUAUGCGUCAAAACAUUAAGAUUAUUAUUUAUUUUUUUCUGAAAAAGAAAUGUGAUUCCAUCUUUGUGCUAUAGGCUUCUGAAGAUGCUAAAAAGUUGGUUAAUCAAGAGCAGUCUUUUGCUUGUGCCGAAAUCGAGAAUGCUAGAGCAGUGGUGCUGAGAUUUGGGGAGGCACUUGAAGAAGAAAAAGUUACACAAGCUUCUAAAAAAAUCAAAAUCUUAAUAUUAAUUAAAUCAUCCCAAACAUCAAAAUAGAAUUCAAUAAAUAAGGUAAAACAUUUCAUUACCUGAAAUUUCCUAUAGAUUAUAAUCAGAAUCAGUUUCAUCUUCACUUUCAAGAUCGUUAUCACUUUGUGGCAAAAAGACUUGCGAAACAGGUUCACUAACCAAAUCUUGCAUAACCAUCUUUGACAGAUCACCAUGACAUCCUAUAUUGCCCACCAGAUUUUUUUCAGGCUGACAAAUGCUUUGAGAUUCAUCAAAUGCAUAAGGUUGAGAUUGCAUUGGAGCUGACAAAGUCUCUUCAACAAAACAACUUCCAUUAACAUUUUUCCUGCGAUGGUCGGAACUUCUCUUUUCACGAUGUUCCACAACUUCAAUCUCAUGCGAGUGUUUUCGUUUCAGACUACCUACAUUAUUACCAUAAAUUGUUUGAGUGAGAGACUUGAGCCUAACCUAUCAGCAUAAAUUAUACAGUGAGUUACCUUGAUUGGAUUCUAAGAACUGAGAGACAAUUUGCUCAAAAUCCAUUGCUUUUGACGCUGAACAAAUAUCUAAGGAUGACUUUAGAAGAUGCCGAGACACACAAGACAUAUAAUUGCAAGGUUAGAACUGCUUGCAGGAGGAAUGCUGAGAAAUCUUUGGGUGGUGAAUGGUUUGACUUCGUCAUAGACCGCGGCUUAAAAGAGAAUGACUUAUUGAAGAUGAUCAGGUCAUUUUGGAAAUGUAAUUUUAUAAUCCAUAAUGCACGAGUACUUUAAAAUCUGUGUUGCAAAGCUUUUUAGCGUAUUAACAAAUCUGUGUUUGCUUGCAAUAAUCCAUUCCUCUAUAACAAAAAAUUUCGAAAAAAGGUCAUUCAACCCGUGCGAAGCACGGGUUUGUAACUAAUUAAUUAAAAAAAUAAUAAAACUAAUUAAAUAUAGUCAUGUGACCAAAAGCAGUGUGUAGUCUGAAUUGUGAAAUGAAGAAAGGUUAGAGUAAUAAAAUAAUAAUACAUAUGCAGAAAGUGUUGAAUUCAACUCAACAACUAAUAUAACUACUAACAUUUGCCAUUAAAAAAAAAAAAUUAUGUGAUUUGAACAAUCAAAUUUAAAUAACUUUUUAAUUGAUUGACACAGUUCAAAUACAUGGUUAAUUAAUCAUGUUUAAUGAAUGAUUAAUUGAUAUACUAGAUGUGGAAACUUAUAAACCAUCAACGAAUUUCAUUAACUAUAAAUUUAGAUGUGGUAAACAAUAAUUACAUAUGUCAAAUUUACAUGCAUGUGAACACCUGAAAAUUAAGUUUAAACUAGAUUGAGACAUGUGCGUUGCGCGGCCGAAAUAAUCGGUUUUUGUGUAUCAUAUUUGAAAGUGAUAUAGUAUAUGUUGGAGAUUAAUGUUGGACUAACUCUAAGUUUUUCUUUGGUUUCUUGACAACUCAAUGAAAUGGGACAAACCAAGUAUGAAAUUAGAAUCAAUGGUUCAAAGGGCAAUAGCCUUAAAUAAUUGAAAGAAAAAGCUGAUUUUUAACCUAAACAUUUAUAGGGCAUUCAUGUUUUUAAUAAAAAUAUGACAAGACUAAAUUCUGUAAACAUAAUAAUCUUGUUAGGAAGGCUUGUGCAUGAAUUGUUUAGUCGUGGAAGUUGAACUAUGGUUCAAGCCAAUUAUUUUAAUGUUCUACUGAGUAACUGUUCUAAUAUUCCACCAAGCAGUAGUUUUAAUCAAGUUUAUAUCUUACAAUCAAUAGAAGGUCUUUUUAGUUUUUAGAAAGUAAUGGAAAGGACUUCAAACAACUUCGAAUAUUUCUUUUGUUGCUGAAUUUAAACCAUAAAAUUACUAACAAUGACUGUAUGUGCAACUUUAAUACAUUUAGAGACUAUGAAUAACGGUGCAUCACACUUUGAGUGACCAAAAUGGAUGUUUGCUGUGAAUUGUUAGGUGUCCAAGACUUCUAUCUGCAAUUAAAUUUUUAAUUUUUGAAGUAAAAGCAUAACUGUAAUCAAUUUUCAAGUAUAACUACAUUUGACUAUUAGAAAAACGAUUUUCAAGAAUAUCGAUCAAAUGCAUUGUAGUUGGAUUAUACUUUACAUAACUAUUUUCCGUUUACAGUAAUGAAGUACUAAAUUUUCAAUAAAAUACCUCAAUGGUGGAACCUCAACCGUGAAUUUUUUAAUUGGUCUUUCUCUGAAUUUUUUAUUACUAAGGACAAUUCCAAACAUUGCAUAUAUAGGACUUGCAUGUUGCAACACAUUAUUUUUGGUAUCAGAUUUUGACAAUGAGUUAAGAAUGUCUCUAAGAAAUGAGAUAUUUUUGUUUCCAUCCAACCUGCGAGAUUUUCAAAUUUUAGAGUAAUGACCCAAUUUGAUCCCUCACAAUUUUCUCGUGGUCCAAUUUAAUCCUUGCCAAAGAUUAAAUCCAAUUUAUUCAUAGGACAAAUUGGUGUUGGACUCUUUACAACAUAUAGACUAAUUUUUCAACGAAAUGAAAAUGUCGUGAAUUACUUUUGUAUUAUUUUUUGUUGAGACUAAAUUGAGCCGUGAGAAAGUUGUGAAGGAUCAAAUUAGUUCUUCAUGAGACAACAUACCAAAUAACAAAACAUAUUAAGCACAUACGAAAUGCUUGAGAAACAUUUGUUGAUAGUAGAGAUAAAAAUUCAGAAUGAUAGAAAAUUGAAGUAGAAAGAAACCUUGCAUGAUUGAGGAAGAUUGCAGAUUGUCAUGCUGCCAUUAUCAGGGCUGUCAUUGAAAUGAAAAUGCUCCUACAGGAAUAAAAAGAAUCUAAUAACUUAGUGAAGAACAAAACAAAUCUUAUAUUUGUCAUUUUAACAGGAAUUUACACCUUAACGUAUUACAAAAAUCUUGAUAAACGCACUGAAAUCUGAAGAUAUGCCUGCAUUUUUUAAUUGCUUAUGAAGUUAUUCACCUGCUCCAUCAUUUUCAUCCUGAAAGUUAAAAUCUAGAAACAAUGUGAAAGGCAAGUCAUUACUAUCAUAGAUACCAACUCUCUCAUAUCCUACAGUUAAUUGAUCUGAAAGAUUGAUCGAAUUUGAAACUGGCUUAGGCUUGCGGUAUGCCGGAGUUAUGAGGAACAGAGUUGUCGGCUAAUACAUAACCAGCUUGGAGAACAUCUUUGCUACUGUCGUCAUUGACAUUGUAGAUAUUGUGAGAUAUUCGUUAUAAACGAUGGACGCGCAAGACAUCAUUGGAUUGAGCAUUGGUUGUGGAAAAUCGCACUCAGAGGGAUAAGGAUAAAAGAAUCACAUGCAGAAGACAUACAAUAAAAAUGUAUGAGCCUAUAGAUGCAAUGGAUGUGAAAUGUUGUGUGUAAGGUGCACAACCUACAUGGCUUUUGUACGAUAGAAUUGACUAGCACUUAACUAGUCUAAGCACCCGUGCGAUGCAUGGAUAAAGUUAGCGGUUGCAACUUGCUCCUUGAAUUUGCCAGCUUCAUUCAUAGGGCAGUGAGUAUCAAAAUUUAAUUUUUCAAAAUAGAUAAAUCGUUUCUCAUUUUGCUUAUGUCUAGAGUGGAAUGUUAUUCAUAUUAUGCAUAUUUGUCCUAUGACCGUUUAGGCUUGGAAUCACUUUGUAUAUAAAAAUGGAAGCAUAUUGUUUAACGAUUAAUAUUAGUAUCGUUUAUAAUUGUUGGUAUAUUACGUGGACCUAAAAGCAUACUGAAGGUAUUAUUGACAAAACAAUCUAUACUGCAUUGUCCUCGUGAGCUUAGCUCAAUUGGUAUGGACAAUGCAUAAUAUACGCAAGGUCCGGGGUUCAAACCCCGGCCACCACAAAAGAAAAAUAGUCUAUACUGCAUUGAAUUUCAAAAAAGACUAGAAAAUAGAAACAAAUUUGUAUUACAAAAUUGACAAGUAAAAAAGAAAGAGGAAUAAAAAAAAUUACACUACAUAUCAUAUGUAAAACAUGCACUUUUCACACUUGUCAUUCAAUGCAUAGCAUUACCAACAAAAACCCUUCAUUCAUCUCCUUUGGUCACCCUUUACUGAACUGAGUCCAAAUUUAAUGCAUUCUUGAAGCUGCAGAUGGUACAAGUUUUAAUAAGAAACUCAUAAAGAAAACAAUAAAUAACAAACUAUUUAAGCAAAUGCCAGAAGAUUUUGGCUAACAACAAUAGUAAGUUCUGCUGUUCCAUUAUGUUAAGUCAGACUUAAAUUUUCAUAAAAAUAAAGAGACCCACCUUCUUGCAAAUCCAGUCUGGCGCAAUCUUUUCCAAAAUCUCGAUCUGUUCUUCAGCUUAUCCUAUUGGGAGGACAUAAUUAAUUAGCUACAUUGUUUAUUACUAAAAAAACUAUUUACUAUGCUUAAAAAAUAACCAUGCACUACAUUAUAGUAAAUAGAAUUAGAACAUACUAAUAUCAGCAUAAUCUAAAUAGUUAAUCAUUAUUACAGGAAGAAAGCUUUAUGACAAAUUCGGUAAAAUGAAUGAUAUAGUUACUUCAACUUCCUGAGUGAAAACAAUAUUAGCAUCAUUCUCUGGGUCAUUUUUUGGAUCAUUCUCUGGGUUAGUGAAUCGAAUAUCAUUCUCUGAGUUUUUAUUCUCUUUCAAUACAUGGAUUCCGCUAUACAUGAACGGGAAUCCAAAGUCAACCUCUGCAUGGUUCCACUUAUUUUCUAAUAAGACAUUCUCUGAGUUAAUCAUUGAUUUCACAUUCGAAUUGAGUUUUAAUGUGAGCGUGAAAUUGGAGAAAUAUAGAAUGAACUUGAGAUUUAUUUUGUACUGGAAAAGUCCACAGAAAAUUCGUGAAAUCAUCUAAAAAUAAUACAUAAUAAUGAUGUCCUCCUGAACUAAGAACAGGGGAUGUCCAAACAUCGCUAUGCACAAUAUCAAAAGACAUUAAAGUAUGAGACAAAGAAUUAGAAAAAGACAAUUUUAUUUGUUUCCCAAGUGGACAAGAAUGAGAAAAAAAUUUGUUCCGAAACUUAUUACAUAUAAGAAAAUUGUUUCGAUGUAGAGAAUCUAAGACUUGUGCUAUAGGGUGUCCUAAAGGGUUGUGCCAUACUUCAUUAGAUAAUGUGGCAAACGUAGAUGGUGGAUGGGCUGAAGUGUAAGGUCAGGUGGUAAGUGGGUAGAGGUCGCCGGAACUGUUACAUCUCAUUAAAGGCAUUCUUGUCUGAAAAUCAUUCACAGAGAAACCCAAGGGGUCAAAUUCAACGGAAACAUCAUUAUCAAUGGUAAAUUUUCUAACAGAGACAAGAUCUUUUAUCAAUUUAGGGGCAUGUAAAACAUUUUGUAAAUUGAAAGAGUUUGGAGAGGUAGGUAAUGAUGCAUGUCCAUAACCGAUAACGGGAAUAUUAUGACCACUACCAACAGUAAUAUUGUUGCUCGUAUUGAAAUAAGACAUAAGAUUACCUCCGUUCUCCGUCAUAUGCGAUGUAGCCCUGGUGUCCAUAUACCAUUGAUCAUCUGGAGGAGAAAUAGAGAAGGUAUGCAUAGCAGCUUGAAUGUCCGUUGGAGCAUAUGAAGAGGAUCCUUGGUGACUGGCCUGGUACGGUGUAGUGCUUGCUACAUGAGCCUCAUGAGUUGGCUUUUGACCAAGAAUACCAGCUUGCUUGUUCGAGUUUCCCGUUGUAGGGUACGGACCAAGGUUGCUGCCACGGUGGAAAAUUCCAUUGUUGAUUUUGGUUAUGAUAUGGUGGAUAAGCCCAUUGUGGUUGUUGAUGUUGGUACAAUGGUAAACCGGCUUGUAAGGUGAGGAUUGCCUCCUCUUUAUAAACUUUCAUCAAGAGUCUUAAAUCCGAUGUGGGACUUAAGUUUUUCCUAAUACACCCCCCUCACGCCCAACACUCUUUGGGCUUGGUGCGUGAAUAGGUAAGUGGCCCUUGAAUUCGACAAGCUCUGAUACCAUGUUGGAAGGAGAGGAAUAUGAUAGAGGGAUGAAUAUUGGCCGUGCCUUUUCAUUGAUAUUCGUGCUGUAUAUAUACAUCAUGUGUGCUCUAAUAAUUCUCAACAACUAAUGAAUAUCCCUAAUAAUUCUCAACAAACUAAUCAGUAAUUAUUUACAACAAUCUCUAAUAAUAUUCUUUCUAUAUUUACAUACUCUAAUAAAAACUUAUCUUCUCCUUCUUCUUCUCUAUGAAAACUCUCUAAUAUUUCUCAAUUUACUCUUCAGAUUACCGGAUCUCAUUCAAUUAUUGAGUUUUGUUACACUUUUUAAAAUAUAAAAGAAUAAAAACUAGACAUAUGAGUGCGGCGUUGUGUUGCUCCUCGUCUUAUAUGACAUUUUUUUUAUUUCAUAUCUUGUUGCGGUGUUUAUUUUGUAGAUAUUGAAAGAUCAACUUUAGUUAAUCAAUUGUAGAUUCAAUCAAUGACGUGGGCGUCAACGUUGCAGAUCCGGAAGCUAGAGUAUUCUGGUGAUUUAGAUCUUAUCAUAUUAUUUAUAGGCAUUUUGUCGUUGUAAUAUGUUAUUAACUUGGUUGUUGUGAGUUUGUUCUCAAAUUCACCCUUUACGUUUUUAGCGAUAUUGAUGAUGUUAUUGUAUCCAGGGGCGGUUUCACCGUCCGACGAUCCCGGGCGGUUGCCCGGGCUCAAUCGAUAAUUUUUGCACAUUAGACCCAACCAAAAAGUUCAUUAACACAUUUACAGAAAGAAAAAUUUGGGCAAUCUGAAAAUUCUUACACGCAAAUAGGUCUCGGAAUUUUAUUUAGCACACUAGUGCCGGAUUCAUCUCUCUUAUUUUAACAGGUUAAUUGUUCAAAUUGACCCUGUAAUAUACUUUAUGUCUGAAAAAUGACCCAAUAAAAUAUAAAACAUAUAUUCUAGCAUUGUAACUUGAAUUUCUUCUUAUUUUUUACCACCCUAUAAUAUAUGUGUAGUCUAAAAAUGUGACCUACAGGUUGAAUUUUUUCACUAUUUUUUUCAUACAUGUUUAGCACGUUAAAAUAUAGCUUUACACAAAAAAAUUAAAUUUCUUCGACUAGGGAUAAAUUAAUUAUGAAUUUUUAUUCACUCAUAAUUAUGAAUUUCUUAAACUAACUUAUAAUUAAUUUGUAUCUCGUUUAAAAACUACAAAAUUUCAUUGUGAAUGUUCUUAUCAUGUUCCAAUCAUGCCUACAAAAUUAGGGAAUUAAAUUUGACUUGUGAGUAUACACUUACGCGGAACAAAAUUUCAAUUUUGCAUGUUUUGGUUGAAAAAUCAAAAUAAAUAAACGACUUCGAAAUGCUAUGAAACUUUACAGAUUCUUUUUAUGUAUUUUUAUAGAUGUCUCUGCAAAUAAUGAGCUCAAAAUUCGAUUUAUAGGUCGAGAUUGCCGUUGUUUUGUUUUUUGAGCUUUUGACACUUUAAAAAUUCACAAUUAGUUUGUCGUUUGUCUAAAAUUUAUAAUUUUUUUGUGUAAAGCCAUAACUCGCCUCUAAGAAAUCAUGAAAAAAAUUCAAUCUCUCGGUUGUUUUUUUGGACUUCUCGUAUACUACAGGUUAUAAAUAAUAAAAAUCCUGAAUUAUAUGGUCAGAAUACAUGUGAUUUAAUUUACAAGGUCAAUUUUCAGACUUCACGUAUAUUACAUGGUCAAUCUCAAUUAAUAACCCUAUUUUAAAUUGUACUUUUGUUGACAAAAUGAUAAACCUCUUUUAUUUCGAUUUUUUUGAGGAAAAAAAAAUUAAAAAAAAAUUUGAUUUAUGACUGUUUAUAUAUUGUCACAUGUGAAGUUGCAAUAAAUUUUUCGCCCGGGCUCCAUAAAUUUCCUGGCUCCGCCACUGAUUGUAUCUGAUGUAUUCUAUCAAUUUGAAUGAAUGAAUAUUGUUUUGCCUUUGUCAAAAUAAAAAACUACACAUAUGUAUGUACGUGUUUGUUACAUAUUUUUAAUAUUUAAAUUUAUUAUUAUCUAUUUGUUAUAUAUGUGUUAUUUGAAUUAAAAGAGAAAAAGACAGCUUAAAAGAGCUGAAAGGAUUAUUUUCUUUAUAUAAUAAUAAUAAUAAUAAUAAUAAUAAUAAUAAUAAUAAUAAUAAUAAUAAAUAAAAGUUAUUUAUAGUUUCUAUAUUUUUUGACAAGUUUAAAAUUUGGCUUAAUUGCUAUUUUAGUCCCUUAACUAAUUAUUUGGUAUCGGUUUGGUCCCAUAACUAAAAAAAAGUCCGUUUUGGUAUUUUAACUUUUGUUCCGUUACAUGUUUUGGUCCCAUCUGUUACUUUUAAUUCAAUUCCGUCAAGUGUGAGCAUAGGUGGCAUUUAAGGGCUGACUUGGCAUACAUUUAGAUGAUGAGAUGGCAUAAGUAACACUUUUAGGACAUUUUAGAGAGAUAAUAAUCAUCUAGAGAGAGAAGUAGAAGAAGAAACGUUUUGCUUUGGCUGAGUUUUCACGCGAAGAAGAAGAAGACGAAAUCGAAGGAACACAAUCUCGCCGACGACAUCAGGUUUGUUUUUUUUCUUCUUCAUCUGUUAUUUGUUUCAUCGAUGGGUUAAAUUUUUUUGGCUUCAAUGUUACUAUUUUUGGGUUAGGGUUUAUGAAAAGUGGUUUCUGGUUUUAGGGCGUUUUGUUUCUGGUUUAUGGUUUUAGGGUUUAAUGUUGGUAUAGGGUUUCAAUAAAUGCAAAUUUUAAACCUUUGUUGUGUAUUGUUGUUGUUUUAGGGUUUUUUGUGAAUAUUAAAUUGAAGUGGUCCAGGUUUUUUUGAUAUUCGUGUAUGUUUGUUUAUUAGGAUUCGUGGGUGAGUGUUCAUGGAGGAUAAGUUCGCGGUGGUCUGUCACUAUGGUGGUGCUUUUGAUGGUUUCAACCAUAAUGGAUAUUAUGGUCUUGAGAGCACUUGGUUAUGUGAUCCAGAUUACUGGAGCUACUUUGAUAUCAUAGGUAAUCUAGAUGUUUUAGGUUAUAAGGAAGAAGCUAUUGAAUCUAUCUGGUUUUAUGAACCAUACAUGGCUGAUGAAAUGGUGCUAUUGGAUAAUGAUAAUCGUGCAAGGAGGGUUAAAGCUAUAGCACACAGUGAUGGACAAGCACAUAUCUAUAUUGUUCACAAAAUAUCACAACCAGAUAUUGUUGAGAUGAUAGAGUAUUAUGGUUUAGGUGAAUACAAUAUGACUGGUGAGGAUGGUCCUAGUGAUAAUGCAGGUCCCACUGUUGAUGAAGCUUCAAAUGAUGUGGCAGAGGCUAAUGUAGGGGUGGGGCCCACUGAAGUUGAAGAUGAAGUAGAAAAAGCUGGUGAUGAUGUUGGGGAAAGUGGGCCAUCUGUUGGUGAAGAAGUAACUGGACCGGAUGUGAGUGAAAAUCAAUUUGGGCCAACUGUUGGUGAAGAGGAAAGUGGGCAAGAUGUGGGUGAAAAAGUAUUAGAAAAGGAAGUUGGGGUAGGGGAUAAUGUAGAGGUGGAGCCCACUAAAGUUGAAAGAGAAAAUGAAACAUUUGGGCCCACUGUUGUUGAAGUGGAAGUAGAAAAAGCUGGUGAUGAUGUUGGGGGAAGUGGGCCAUCUGUUGGUGAAGAAGUAAUUGGGCCAGAUGUGAGUGAAAAUGUAUUAGAACCAACUGUUGGUGAAGAGGGAAGUGGGCAAGAUGUGGGUGAAAAUGUAUUAGAAAAGGAAGUUUUUGGUGUUGGUAAGAAAAAUGACAAAGUUACUAGUGUUGGUAAGAAAAAUGACAAAGGUAAGGAGCCUGCUGUAGAGGAAGAAGAUGAAAUUUGUUUUGAGUUAUAUGAGGAUAGUGAUGUUGAGAGUGUUCAAGAUGUACGUUUUGUUGAUGAAGACAUGGAAUGCAUGCUUAAUGACUGCUUUGGUUAUGGUGAGGGAGUUAAUGAUGAUGAGGGAGGUUAUGGUGAUGAGAGAGGUAAUGAUAAUGAGGGAGCCAAUCAUGUUGACAACAACGUUUCAGCAGGUAUGUUACAAACCCCCCCCCCCCCCCCCCCUAAUGCAGAAAAUAAUAUUAUAAAGAAGUCCCUCUGUUUAUAUGUUGUUAAUGUAUGAUGUUUAUGCAGGGAAUAAUGAUGUUGAGGAACAUGCUACAGAACCACCAAGGAAGAAGAGGGGUAGACCAAGGAAGCAGCCUGUUGAUCCAGUUGCUACUGAUGGAGCAGAAAAAUUUGUGCCUGAAGCUAAUCAAAAUGAGAGUAGUAGUGGUACUGAUGAUGAACUGAUUAUUGAGGAAGGGUCUGGUCAGGCAAAUAUGGUAGAAGAUAAAGGUUUCGAAGAUGCUGAGGAGUAUAAUUCUGAAGAGCUUGAUAGUGGAAGUGACAGUGAUGGGGAAUGUGAAUUUCAAGGCAAGUUUCCUACAUUCAAACAACCAAAGAAGAUGUUAGAUUAUAAGUGGGAGGUAGGUACAUAUUUUGGUACCAAAUCAGAAUUUCAACAUGCUAUGAGGACAUAUGCAAUUCAUUCUGGUAGGGAAAUCAAGUUUGUGAAGAAUGACAAAUUGAGGAUGAGGUUGGAAUGCAGAGGCAGAGGCAACUGUGAAUGGAAGGCUUUCUGUGCCAAAAUACGAAAUGAGGCAACUUGGCAGCUGAGGCAAGUUGGUCCUAACCAUACAUGUAGUAGGGGUAACAAGGUGAAAUUUCUGAAUUCUAAGUGGCUUGGUACAAAACUUCAGCCUAAUGUGAGGGAAAACCCAACUGUGAAAAUCCAAGACAUCAUCAACAAGAGUAAUGAGAAGUGGAAUAUCAAAGUGACAAAGACAAAGGCCAUCAGAGCUAGAUCAUUGGCUUUUGAUGCUGUUGAUGGCUCUUUUAGGGAGCAGUAUACUAGGAUGCAUGACUAUUGUCAUGAGUUGCUGAGAUCAAAUCCACAUUCUACAGUGAAGAUAACUAGUACACCAUAUCUACCUUCUGAAGAUGAUUUACAAGAUCCUACUGCUAAUCUAAAUCCUCACUUUCAAAGAGUAUACAUAUGCUUCAAGGCAUGUAAAGAUAGUUUCCUAAAGUGCAGACCUAUCAUUGGCUUGGAUGGAUGCUUCCUGAAAGGUUACUAUGGUGGUCAACUUUUAACAGCAAUUGAAACAGAUCCAAAUGAUCAAAUACUCCCUAUUGCUUAUGCUGUUGUUGAAGGAGAGACAAAAGAAACAUGGGCUUGGUUUUUAGAUUUGCUUGUGAAUGACUUGGGUGGUGUGGCAAAAUGUGCUGAAUAUACAUUCAUAAGUGACCAACAAAAGGUAUGCUAUAUUAAUUUCUUGUAAACAUAUGGAUGUUAUGCUGAAUAUGUGUGUUAUAUUGAAAAUGUGUAUACUGAAUAUGUGCUAUGUUGUCUAUGUUAUAUUUAGGGACUGUUGCCAGCAAUGGAUGAAUUGCUGAAAGAUGUUGACCACAGAUUCUGUGUUAGGCAUCUGUACAAUAACUUCAGAAAACAAUACCCUGGAAAGAAACUAAAGGAACUGAUGUGGAAGGCAGCCACAUCAACAUAUCCAAAUGCAUGGAUGGAUGCUAUGAAGGAGAUCAAGGCAAUCAAUCCAGAGGCAUUCAAGCAUUUGAUUCAAAUACCACCUAGAAGAUGGAGCAGAUCAUAUUUCAGGGUUGUACCAAAGUGUGACACUUUGGUCAACAACAUGUCAGAGUCUUUCAACUCUGUCAUUGUUGGCCCUAGAUCAAAACCAGUGAUCACUAUGCUUGAGGAGAUCAGAAUUUAUAUCAUGGAAAGGUGGGAGAAAAAUAGACACAAAAUUCAGAUAUAUCCAGAUAGUGUUUUGCCCAACAUCAAGAAAAAGCUUGAAAGAGAGGCUGCUUAUACAAACAAAUGGCUUACAAGGUAUGAUUGUUGGUACUUUUUAUUGAUUAAAUAGUAUUAAGUUGGUCCUUUAUAUAGAUUAUAAAGUAUUAAGUUGGUCCCUUAACUUUCUUAUAUAGUAUUAAGUUGGUCCCUUAACUUUCGUAUAUAGUAUCAUUUUGGUCCCUUAACUUUCUUAUAUAGUAUCAUUUAGGUCCUUCUUAAUUUCUGUUUUAAACCAUUCUGUAACAAGUGCAUGGUCCACUUUUGUCAUUUUGUAUGUGUGAAACAGGCGUUGUGGUGAAGACUUUUUUGAGGUUUGGCACAUUUCUCCAUCUAGGGAACAAUUUUCUGUCAAUCUUGGAACAAGAGACUGCUCUUGUAGGAAGUGGUUGUUGACUGGGCUACCAUGUGUACAUGGUAUUUGCUGUAUCAGGUAUAUGGAACUUGAUAUGUAUGAAUUUGUUCCUGAUGAAUAUAGGAGAGAAAGGUAUGAAGCAUGCUAUGCACAUAUGAUAUUCCCUGUUAAUGGUAGAUCUCUAUGGCAAAGAACUGCUUACACUGACCUGCAACCCCCACCUAUUAGAAGACAACCAGGUAGGCCCAAGAAAAAGAGAACUAAGGACCCAUCUGAAAUGCUGAGAGAUGAUUCACAAAUGAAGAGAGCAAGGUAUGGAAUUAAGUGUAGUAGAUGUAAGUCAGUUGGCCACAAUAAAUCAACAUGCAAGCUGCCUCCACCACCUGCUGAAACCCAAGCCACUGAUAACCCAUCUACAAAUCAACCUCAGCCAACUGAUAAUGCUACUACUAUCACUCAACCACCUGUACCAACCCAAAACCAAUCAACUACUUCCGCCACCACUACCAAUACUGUCAUUCAACAACCACAUGCACCAACCCAUAACCAAUCAACUACUUCCACCAACACCACUUGUAGUCAACCACCUUUUACUCAAACAUUUUCUACUCAAGAUUCCACAAAUGCACAGACUUCAGCUAAGCCCAAAUCUCAAGCAAACAAGAAGCAAGGUGGUGCUUCCAAGGCUAAUUCUGCUGCAACUGCGCCAAAUGCUUCCAAGAAACUAGCUGCUACUUCCAAGACUAAAGCUACUGCAACUAAUGUAGCAGCAACCUCCAAAAGGGGUCCAAACACCACAAGACAGAAGUUGCCAUUCAAAAGGGGUCAAACAAGUGCAACACAACCACCCUCCAAAUGAAGAAUCUGUCAUAUUAUUAAUUAGUUUUUAUUUUGGUCCUUUAUUAAGUUGAUGCUUAUGUAAUGAGAACCUAUGGCUUUAGUUUGUAUGCCUUUUUUGAGUUUGGUCUCAUUUUGAUGAUGACAGAAAAUGUAAGAGAACCUAUGGUUUUAAACCUUUUUGAUAUGGUCUCGCAUUUAUCAUUCAUGACUUAUGUAAUUGAGAACAUCUUGAGUUUGUCUCAAUCUUAUAAUUAAUCCAUGUGACAAAAAAUGUAAGAGAACCUAUGGUUUUACACCUUUUUGAUAUGGUCUCGCCUUUAUCAUUCAUGACUUAUGUAAUUGAGAACAUCUUCAGUUUGUCUCAAUCUUAUAAUUAAUCUAUGCGACUUAUUUACAAUUGUGUAUUGUUUAUAGUUGGAACCCUUUAUGUGUUUUAUCAUCACUUAUGUGUAAUUGACAACCUUUUGAUUUGGUCUCAUCAAUUUAUCAGGUUUAGUAGCUAAAAUACAUUACUGUAUUAUGUUUCCCAAAUUAACCAUUGCAUUGUAAAAUUAGGAUAAACAUUACAUCAGAUCUUUUCACAUUAUAUCAACAACAUACUUAAAUUACUUUAAAUACAUUCAACAUUCUACUAACACAUAACUAAGCUACACUUUAAAUACAUUGACAACAUCAUACUAAUCCAUCAACAUCAUACUAAUCCUUCAACAUUCUACUAACACAUAACUAAGCUACACUUUAAAUACAUUGAAAACAUCAUACUAAUCCAUAAACAUCAUAGUAAUCCUUCAACAUUAUACUAACAAAAACUUAAACUACUUUAGGUACAUUGAAAAAAUCAUUGUCAUUAACACAAUGUUAAACCCAAAACAUAAAAACCCAAACAUUAUUGCAAUCUUGGACCACCUCCUACUAUUACACAACUCUUCUUUUAGGAAACAAACUUCAUGCUUCAACUUCCCAUUUUUCUUCUUUAGCCUAGCAAUCUUCAUAUCACGUUCAUCAACAUCACCAUUAUCAUCAUCAGAAAGAAAUUGAAAAUAGUUGCAGCCACUAUCAGAUCGGUUCCUCCAAUUUCUACAUCCCCAAAACUUCUUUCCAUAAUUAGGGUUUCUCAUGUCAGUAACAGUUUUCAUAACUAAAAACUCACCACAUUGACAUUUUCGAAUCUGUCCCUUAAACCCAGAACCUACAGAUCCAGAGAUGGCCCUUCCAUUUUCGUUGUUGCUGUUGCUUCUGCGGUUAACAUGAGAACCUGCACUGGACAUGUUAUCGAAAACGGAAAAGAGAAGAAGAAGAGUAGAUGAAGAGAAGAUGAAGAAGGAUGUGAAUCUGAUAAAGAAGAAGAACAAACCCUAAUUUUUGGGGAAAAAUUAGAAAGGAAAAAGAAAACAACAAUAAAGAAAAGAACCUUAUAUAUUGAUGAGUCAUAUAUUGCCAAGUCAGCCCUUAAAUGCCACCUAUGCUCACACUUGACGGAAUUGAAUUAAAAGUAACAGAUGGGACCAAAACAUGUAACGGAACAAAAGUUAAAAUACCAAAACGGACUUUUUUUUAGUUAUGGGACCAAACCGAUACCAAAUAAUUAGUUAAGGGACUAAAAUAGCAAUUAAGCCUUAAAAUUUUAAUAUGUGAAAGAUAAUUAUAAUUAUUAUAAUUUCUAUAUAUUCCUAAUACAGAAAAAAUAAAAAUUGCCUACAAAAGUUUUAGAAUCGGAUGGACCCAUGCUAGCUCAAUAAAUACAUACAAUUUAUAAAAUAUAAGUACUGCAAAUAUAGAGCCGGCUAGACCGACGCUAUUGUUUUUAAUAAAACAAAAAUUCAGAUAUGUAACACUGAGUAGGCCUGGCCGAUGCUAAACCGACGCUAUUAGCGUCGGUGUUGGGCACCGAAGCUAAACUCUGACUCUAAAAAGCUGUUUUCUUGUAUUGUUGGUUCGUCCUUAGAAUCCAUUGCAUCCAACAAUACCUCAUUUGUAUCUAUCUGAUCUCAAGUUGUAUUCUCCAUUUUUCUUUUGACAAAUGAAACUGAUCUAGACCCUAAUGGGUCGAUUGGUGUGUUUAGAAAAUUAGAGGAGGUUCUUUUUUUUUUUUUUUUUUUUUUAUGGUUAGGUGAGAGGUGCUUUAAGAAAAUUUCAAAGGAGUUUAGUGUAAUUUUUCCUUUAAUCAUUAACGUUAGUUCUAUCAUUAAUUUUUUUUUUCUUAUGUUUUCAAAGCAGAUAAGAUUGCAAUGCUCUUUAACACAUAACCUCCAGUUCAACGCGCAGCUCCUGCGGAGUACUAGCCCCAUGCUUAGCAGGUGUUUGUUGGUAGCAGAGUUGAAAAAAUAUUGUAACAAGUCCUUGUAAGAAAUUCUAUUCCACGAUAAUAAAGGAAAUCAAGAUAACUCAACCCAAAGAAACGUAAAACAUAGUACUACUAUAUAAAAUAUAAAAUGUAAAACUAAAAGCUUGUAAGUAAAAUUCAGUCCAAUAAUAGAAGGAAAACUUAAAGCAUGAUAUAAAGACUGAAUUGAUGUUACUCAAAAUUGUACUACAUAUAUAAUAUAAUGAGUGACAAGAAGUUUUCACACUUGGCUGUGUGUAUGGUGUUCUAAUCUCUAUUACUUUUCUUACACAAAACAAUGAGGGCAAAAAACGAAACAACCCUUGCUAUGCACAACUUUUCUUACACAACAAUGAGUGCAAAAAACAAGCAUUUGCAAUACCACAAUUAACAUUCAUUAUCCCAUUCAACAAAAACCCUUCACUCAUCUCCUUUGGUCAUGGUCACAUUAUAGAACAGCCUUGAUCGAACCGAAUCCAAAUCCAACGUAUUCUUAAUGCUGCAAAUGUUACGGCUGGAAUUUCAUGUUAAGCCUGAAUCAAAUUUUCACAUCCCUAAAAGAGACUGAUACUCUAAAAGUGCGAAGGUUUAAUCAUAAAAACAAAGAGACCCACAAGAAACCAUUUUCUUGCUAAGCCAGUCUGGCACAAUCUUUUUCAAAAUCUCAACAUGUUCUACAGCUAGAUUGGGAGGAAUAAGAUUAGUUAGCUAAAUUGUUUAUUACUAAGAAAUAGUGAGAAUCAUAAUAAAAUAGAAUUAGAACAUACCAAAUCUAGAGUUAAUCACACCAAUGAUGAAAGAUUGUUAUCCGAUUCAUCCAAACCACUUUGAUCUACAUUGGUUUCCUCAAAGGAAUGACUAAGAAACCAAUCAACAAGAAAGCAAUUACUUAAAUGAGAGAAGAAAUUGCUUUUAGAAUAAAAAUUUCUUUUGAAAGGUACAAAAUAAAAUAAUAAGUGAAUCAAAAGAAUCAAAAGAUGGCAGGUAUACCUCCUGAGGUAAGGAAAAAGAAUCAAAAGAUUUGCAGUCCUAAAAGCAUCCUCUGCUAGGUUUAGAUGUAUGUCUGCUCUAUUGUCCAAAUCAUCGCUGCCUUCUGUGAGUGAAAAGUCUAGCACUCUUUUUGCAGGCGUAGAUUUUUGCACAUUUUGCACAGUGUCCUAAAAGCAUCCUCUGCUAGGUUUAGAUAUAUGUCUGCUCUAUUGUCCAAAUCACCGCUGCCUUCUGUGAGUGAAAAGUCUAGCACUCUUUUUGCAGGCGUAGAUUUUUGCACAUUUUGCACAGUGUCCUAAAAGCAUCCUCUACUAGGUUUAGAUAUAUGUCUGCUCUAUUGUCCAAAUCAUCGCUGCCUUCUGUGAGUGAAAAGUCUAGCACUCUUUUUGCAGGCGUAGAUUUUUGCACAUUUUGCGAAGUCUUGUUCAAGAGAAAGAUUUUUGCACAGUCAUUUUCUGAAGCUUAACAUAAGAACCGAACAACAACUGACCGUGCAGGCGUGUGUCAACAAACUGUCAGUACAAGAGACAAUUUUCAAAUCAGGGCUUUCCGAACUAAUAUCAUCAGGUUGAAAGGACAUUGACAAUGAUUCCUUCCGGUUGCCUCUUUCUCCAUUAAGAUUACUCACAUAAUUAAACAAUGGUGUGAACUCUCUCUGCCUUGUGCUUCACUUUCUUGGUUGUCUAGGAAGAUGGACUUAAAUGAUGAAAAGCACUGAAUUUGCUCAGUCUCGUUAGCCGCAUUGUUCUGAGAAAAGUGUCUUCUAAAAGAUGGACUCAAAUGCAAGUUGUUCAUCAACGGUUCAGUUUCAUCGGAAGUUGAUGAAAGUUCUGUUGACAAGUUAAUGGGCUCUGGUGGUAGCAUGGCAUGUGGAAGAUCAGUAACCUUAUCAAUAAUGAAAAGAAAAAAAAUAAAUUAGAGUAAUGAACUCAAUUCUUUCGCACAAGUCAGUAUUUCAAAUUUGUCUGCUUAACUAAGAACAACAAAAAGAAAUAUACUUCCUCUAAUGUAAGCAAGCCAAUAAAAUUUUGUGCAUUAACGAUCUUUUCAAUAACCAUCCCUUCUCUAAUUUUAACCUUCUUCCACUUUAUUUUUGUGACACCCAAGACAAACAUUAUAGCAUGUUUGGAAUACCUUAGUAGAACUUUUUCACUCACAUCAGUUUUAUGAGACUGUUUGGGAGAACUUACGAAAACAGCUUAUGCAUAUUUUCAUAGAAUGUUUUCAACUUAUUUUUAUAAGUUCUCCAAUAUAGUUUAUAAAAAGGAAAUGAAACGUUAUUUUAUCUUUUGUUACUAAAAUAGCUUAUGCAAGCUAAUACAUAAGCGCUUAUCAUGAUAAGCGCUUGUGCUAUCACCUGAAACAAAGUGGUUUUUCCAAACAGACCCAUAUCCUGUUACCAGAAAGAUGUGUAUCCUUGAGAAGAUAAUUUUUAUGAUGCGUGUGCAGUUGGUAGAAUUCUAAAUUUAAUAAACAGGUCUAACUCUUUAAUAUUAGCCACCACCAAACAGAAAUGUUUUCAAAAAGUAAAUGGAGCCUAGAAAUAUUAAAUUUCCCGACAAGAGACUAUCUCUCUAAAUUUACUGCAAAACUCAAAUCUACCGUAAACAGAAAGGGUUAAAUCUCUUUUUAAAGAUACAAUCAACAUGAAUCUGUUGUGAAUUCGAUGAAAAAUCACACCAAUAACAACUUGAUGUGUGGAGCAAGGGAUAAUCAAGCAACCAAAACAAAGCGUAUGGAACAAUUAAAUACGAGCCAAAAAGUAGAAAACAACUGCGAGAAGAACAAAAGAAGAAGAAGAACACAAAGGAAUUUGUUGACCCAGUUCGGUCCAAUCUGACCUAGUCUGGGGGAGAGAGCAGCCCUCCGAUCCACUAUUUGAUGAGUAACGUUACAAAGAGAAAUCAAUGGGUUACAAGAAUAAGUCUUCCGCCUAAUUCUACCUAAAGUCCCAAUCUCUUUCCGUAACCAAGAGACUCCAAUCCUAAUAGUGUUUCUCUCUAUCUCAAUCUCUACUCUCUCUCUCUCUCUCUCUCUCUCUCUCUCUCUCUCUCUCUCUCUCUCUCUCUCUCUCUCUCUCUCUCUCUCUCUCUCUCAGAGUUUGCUUUGAUACAAGGUCUAUAUUUAUAGUAAAAGUCCUGCUUAAAAUCUAUAACAAAUCUGCCUUAAAUUUGUAACAAAUCUGUAACAAAAACUGUAACAAAUCUGCUCCCAAAAAUAUGUUUUAUUUUUAUCCGCCAGCGCACCAUCGUGCCACGAUGCGACCCCAUCGUGCCACGAUUUUUCCAGUGCCUUGCCCAAAAAACUAAAACCUCCAUCGUGCCGCGAAGCCCAGCCGUCGUGCCACGAUUGUGCAGAAACCUGAUUUUAAGUUAACUCUCACAGAAUCAUUGUACAUUGUAAUAAAUGGCAUCAUGAAAUAUUAAUCUAAAAAAUACAAACUGUUAAAAGCUUCCUAUUUGCAGGAGUUCUUAACGAAAUAUAUAUAUAUAUAUAUAUAUAUAUAUAUUGAAGGGAUUCUUAAGAAAUAUCAAUCUCAAAAAAAUACUAGCAUGGUUUUGCUUGGUUUUCCGAAAAGAGUAAGCAAAGCAUUCACCAUUCUCUUUUGAAAGAGCUCUAGUAAUCAAUAUUAGAGGAAGAAAAGUUUAUGACAAUUUGGGUCAAAUGAAUGAUAUACUUACUUCACCCCGAGUGAUUACAAUGUUAGCAUCAUUCUCUGGAUUGGUGAAUCGAAUAUCCUUCAAGUUAAUUUUCUCUUUCAAUACAUGGAUUCCACUUUUAAGGAAUUUGAAUCCAAAGAGAACCUCCGCAUGGUUCCACUUAUUUUCUGAAAGUGCUUUGUCCAUAUUAUCAUUGAAGUUUUCCAUUUGCAUAUGAAAAAGAUGCAAAUGAUAUGUAUCUGCAUGUGAUUUGGCACCAAUCUUCGAACCAUGUGUAUAAAAAAAUGUAUCUCCGUUGAUGAUCACUCUUAAUGGAGAACCAUCCCAUGUAAAUGGAGAAAGAACAUAGAGAGCUAUGACAGGAAACUUGUUACGAAACCAAAAAGAAAUAUAUGUUCCUGCCAUACAAUGGUGAUCAAACCACUCUGGAAAUGUUGCUUGUGGCAAACGAAACCAUGUUUUUCCAGCCUCAUGUAAUUCCUGUUAGUCAUAAACAAUUAAUAUAAGUUUAACUAUAUCAAGAAGAAUAUAAAAUACAUUACAAAUAAAAAAGAAAAUAAAUCAUAACCUGAUUUAGCAAUUUGCUCUUGCACGACGAAGUCAACGACUUGCAGUUUAGUGCAGAUAACAUUCUUAAGCAUGGAGGAAUCCCUUUAAUUUCUUUAAGUGCCGUACAAUCAUCCAAGAUGAGUUUCCACAAAAAUUGACAAUUUUCAAUAGAUUUAGGAAUAACUGUGAAAUGAUUACUAGUUAAGUGUAAUUCUUUCACAUUAGCAAACAACAUAAGACUUUUUGACAGAUAUUCCUCUGAACGAUAGCCGACGUGCCUGACACAAAUAUACUUUACAUGUGAAGAUUGAAUUGCAUUCACUUUUUCUUCAUUCCUAAUGGUAAAUUUAGCCAAUGUUGACAUCCUAUUUGGUAAGUAAACAUAUCCACAGUCACAUAAUGUCUGAGGCUGAGUAAGAGUUUUAAAGGGAAAUGGAAUUUCUUUUAUGGGAGUAUCAUCCUUAAGGAGUCCUGGUAUAUUUCUCAUUUCCCCCAAUAUUUCUGGAAAACUCUCGAGACUAUAACAACAUGAAAGAUUGAAAUAUUCCAAUGAAGUCAACCUGAGCCGUGGGAUAUUCCUAAGCAUGAUGCAACAUUCAAUAUUCAAAAAUUUAAGUUUAUCCAACAACCCAUCCACCACACAUGGAAAACUCUCAAGACUACAGCAACAUGAAAGGUCAAGUUUCUCUAAAGAAUCCAGCUUGAGAGGUGGGAUACUCUUGAGAUUGUAACACUUUCUAACAAGCAGGGUUUUAAGUUUUCCAAGAAACCCGUCCACCACAGGUGGAAAGCUCUCGAGCCUAUGACAUGAUGAAAAGUCAAGGGUUUCCAGUGAAUUCAACUUGAGAGGUGGAAUACUCUUGAGAUUGUGACACUUUGCAAAACACAAGGUCUUAAGUUUUCCAAGAAACUCGUCCACCACAGAUGGAAAAUUCUCAAGAUUAUAACAAUGUGAAAGGUUAAGAUAUAUUAGCGAAUCCAACUUGAGAGGUUGAAUACUCUUGAGAUUGUGACAACUUUCAACAUUCAGGGUUUUAAGUUUUCCAAGAAACGCAUCCACCACAAGUGGGAAAUUCUCAAGACUAUAACAUUGCGAAAGGUCAAGUGUUUCUAGAGAAUUCAACUUGAGAGGUGGAAUACUCGUUAGUUUGCAGCAACCUUUAACAUUCAAGGUUUUAAGUUUUCCAAGAAACGCAUCUACCACAAGUGGAAAAUUCUCAAGACUAUAACACUGCGAAAGGUCAAGUGUUUCUAGAGAAUUCAACUUGAGAGGUGGAAUACUCCUUAGCAUUUUGCAAUAUAUAACAUUCAUGGUUUUUAGCUUAUCACCAAAUCCAUCUAACACAGGUGGAAAACUCUCAAGGCUAUUGCAUCCUGAAAGAUGGAGUUCUACUAGAGAAGCUAACAUGAGAGGUGGAAUACUCUGGAUUUCAAUGCAAUUUAUAAGUCUCAAGAUUUUAAGUUUACCUAGAAAACCAACCGAUUUAUCAAUUGCAAUUAGUUUCCAACAAUUUUUAAUUGAAAGUUUUUCUAAAUUUGAGAGACCAGAUAUAUUAGGUAUUUGUACUAAACCACUGCCACCUUCGAGAUUCAAAACUCUCAUAUUCUGAAAAUUCUGCACAAAAAAAUGGAGAUAGAAAAAAAUGCAAAUAAAUAAAAAAUAUAUGAAUAAUUAGUGUUUUGAGUUAUUAAUAUAAGAUCAGAGAUCACUUGCCUUUGUGGGAAAGUUCAACAAAGAAAGAGCGACAAGGAAAUCUGAUGAAGGAUUGUGACAUUCCAGCACUCUGAGACUAUUUGGAAGAUGUUUGGGACUUUUUUUAAAAAAAACAUAAUCAGAAAAAAUUAGUGUUUUGAGAUUUUCCAUCUUCUUGAAAGCUUCUCCAUCCCAUGCUACUGUAGUCCAACAAUCAAAACGUAUGAUUUCAAUUUGACUUGUUCCCUAUGAAAAAAAAAAGUUCAAAUCAACCGAAUAUUUUAUUUUAAUAGAAUAUAUGUUAAAACUUUAUACCACGUAUAUGUUAGAACUUUAUCUUGUCAAAACAAAAAACCUUCUUUCAAAAAAAAAAAGUUACAACUUUAUACCACAUAUUUAAAGAUCUUGAAUUAUUAUUUUUUUUAAGGAAAGAUCUUGAAAUAUUAUUAAGAGUUUAGUUUUAUAUAAAUUGUUUUUCUAAAGAAUUUAUAUAAAUUGUUAGUGUGAUUCUUCAAAAAUAAAUUGUUAGUGUGAGAAAGUUAUGCAAAUUCCCUAAAAAAAAAAUAGGGUUAAUUAAGGUUUUAGUCCUUAUAAUAAAUAUUCAUAAUUUUGUUUUUAGUCCCUCUGAAAUUUUCACUAAGCAUUUUAGCGACAAAAAAUGUUGAUGGAAAUUUUUGACAGGGACUAAAAAUGUUGAUGGAAAAAUUUUAUAGGGACUAAAAAUGUUGAUGGAAAAUUUUAUACGGACUAAAAAGUGUGACUUUAUUUUGUAGGGACUAAAAACAAAAUUCCGAAUAUUUACAGGGACCAUUUACUUAAUUAACCCAAAAAAUUAUACACAUGCAUAUUAUGAUGUGUUAGCACAUGAGAUAAUGAUAUGUUAAGUUAAGUAUUGUUAAUUAAUUAAAUAAUGUAACAAUAUAUCAUUAAUUAUAUGUAAUGUAUGUCUAAAAAAAAUUACACUCACGGUACAUAUAAAUUGAACUCAAACAAAAAGUAAACAAAAUUGAUAUUAUGCAAAUUAAUAUUUUUUUAAAAAGUCAAAAUGAAUUAUAUCAAAUCAAUAAUGCAAAAAACCAAAAGGUAACUUAGCAUGAGCUACGGUAAUCAAAGUUAAUGGUGGAAUGCCAAAUUAUCCAUAACAUUAUUACUCACUGUAUUUUCUUCUAAAACUUGCAUUAUAUCAUUAGAAAACCAUAAUCUAGUGCGUUUUCCAGGAUCUUGAGGCGAUUCUUGUCUAACAAUUUCUUUACCCAUAUCCUCUACCAAAUCAUGCAAUGUCACAUUACCAAACUCAUUUAUUUUUAUGAGAGAUUUUUCCACUAACACAUUAAUGUGAUCUUUCACGAUUUCACCAUGAUGGGCAUGAAGUAUUUCAUCGACCCUUGUUAAUUUGCAUCCUUUAAAGCAACAAGCAAUGUCAAGAAAAACAAACUUCUCUUCGUCUUCCAAAGCAUCAAAGCUAAUUUGUAGUGUUGUUUGGAUCUUUUUAUGAGGAACUUUUUCAUAACGAUCUAGUGCAUCUUUACAUUGUUCUAUUGUCUUAUUAGAAAAGUGAGAACCCAUGACUUCUAAAGCAAGUGGAUGACCAGAAGCAUAUGCUACGACACGUUCUAUAACAUGCAAUUGUGCUAAUGAAACAUUUUCAUCGCUUGGACUAAAUUCAUCUUUAAAAGCUUUCCAUCUAACCAACUCAAAAGCAUCUUUGGCAUUCAACCCUCUCACCUCAUAUGUAUGUUCAACCCCAUGACAUGUUAGCAACUUUUUAUCCCGAGUUGUGAUGAUGAUUCGACUUGAGGGACCAAACCAUUUGUGUUUUCCGGCCAGAGCUUUUAAUUGUUCUUGCUCGUUAACAUCGUCUAGAAUCAAAAGUAACUUCUUUUGUCGGAGCCUCUGCUCCAAUAUUGAAAUUCCUUGUCGAACACCGGUUAAGGCAUUUUUCUCCCCAACUACUUUGGAAAGAAUGAUGUUUUGGAGAUAUGGUAACCCAUGUUUUUCAUGAUUUUCCCUAACAUUUUCAAGAAAACAUGAAGCAUCAAAUUCAUGGGCAAUCAAAUUAUAAACAGAUAGAGCAAGAGUUGUUUUCCCAAUUCCACCCAUCCCAUGGAUCCCUACCAUGUGGACUGUAUCAUCUGACCCAAUAUUCAAAAGGGAAGUCAGAUGUUGCUUUUGGUGCUCCAGUCCAAUUAGGUAAUCACCAACCGGUAAGGCAAGAGGUUCUAUAUUUCCUAAGACUUGUUCAACAAUGUCCCCAAUAAACAUAUGCUCAGGCGUAUCCCUGUCCAAUAUGAGAAAAGAGGUCAUUCAAGUGCAUAUAUUAUGCUUAAUUGUGUUUUUCAUCCUUCAUAUAUCGCAACUGUGCAAUUUUAGUCCCUAUUAUUUUAGGUCUUUUGCCCCGUUAUGUUUUUCUCAUGGUUUCGUAGUCUCCCUCCCAAAAGUAACACUGAUGUGUCUUCAUUUAUUGAUGUAACAUUCAACAUAAGGGGCGAAUUGCUCAAAUCGCUCAAACCUACAUCUAUUUAUAUAACUAAAAUUGUGCUAUGCUUUGUUUGUCGUUUGAGGUUUUUGGAAAAUGAAUUAAGAAAUAUAAUUAACGUAGAUUAUUUAAUAAAAAAACAUUGUUUAACUUUUUUUUUUUUUGGUAGUACACAUUGUUUAGCUUCUUAUUCUUUUUACUACGAUAUCAUAUGAAUUAAGCUUCAAAAGAAAAAUACGUAGUAAAGAAAGACAUAAAUACUGGUAAAAAAAUAUAAUAGGGAAAUGCUAACAUGUGCUCAUGUGCCUUAAGAGCACAUGUUAAGGUACUACUAAUGAAAAAUAUGUAAUUGAAAAAUUGUGCAAAUUUAUUUCUUAAGCAUUUGAUAAUUAGUUUUUUACAAUAAAUACUUACUACUUGUGGAAACUUUAUCAUGUGUUCUAAGAGCAUAAGUUAGCAUGACUCAAUAUAAUAAGAAUUAAGUUUUGGUCUGUUGGGUUAAAAUAUUAGUUAUUGUGUCCCUCUAUUCUCUUUCCAUUUGUUUUUUCAAUAUCACCUAUUUUUUCAAUAUAACCUAAUUACUUAUCUGAGAGUUUAUUGUUAUCAAUUCAAGUGACUAUUUCAGUGGACAAAUGAAAUGGAAACAAAAGAAAUAUAGAAAUAUACCCUUUGUAAUGAAAGCCGGACAAGUCAGUAACUUGGUGAAGAGACACCUUCCAUUUAUCCAGAUUGGAGUUGGCCUUAUGUUUAUCCAUUCCUUCUCCAAAACUUCUUUUCAGCUUUCGUACAUCAGAAGGAUCAACCUUAUAAAAAACCGGAAAAACGGAACGACCCACCAUAUCUUUCAUCGUAUCAAGGAUCUUAGAAAGUUCUUGUAAGCAAAAGGAUGAAGAAGCAUAAUUUUCAGAGAGGACAACGAUGGCCAUCAUGGACUGUUCAAUUGCUUUAAGAAGUGAUGGUGUGAUUUCUUCACCUUUUCGUAGCUCCUUAUCAUCCAUGAAAGUUCGAACUCCUUUGUCAUCAAGAGCUUUCUUGAGAUAGCCAGUGAAACCAUGGCGAGUAUCUUCGCCUCUGAAGCUGAGGAAAACAUCGUACUUGAAUUGAUCUGCGAGGGAUGCCAUGAUGAGUGAACGAAUGUGAAUUGCAGAGUGUUAAUUGUAAAGUAUACAGAUUCAAAACAAAGUGAGAGAUAUAGACAUGAUUUUGAGUAGUGAUUAAUAUCCAAAAAAUAAAAAAUGAAACUGCUGGAACGCGCUUGUCAAUAGGGAGCAAUUUCGCGGAAUUUAACAUGUUAAAACAUUUUUUUAUUGAGAAAGGAUAUCUAUUUUCUCAUACAUCACGAAAUUGAAUCAAUCAUCUACUCUACUAAAAAACCAUAUUUUUAUACGUGAUUAACCAGAUGUCAUGUGGAUGUUAAUGUAUCAUUAUUGUUUCUAAAAAUUACAUGAAUUUGUGGUUUUGUUCGGUCUCUUGCUAUCUGUUUUAUCUUAUCAAGUCAUGAUCAGUUUCUAAAUCAACCAAGAUAAAAAAAAUAUAGAAACAAUGACAAUAAAUUAUUUUGCAAGUAACAUCACUGACGCUGCUAAAUAAAUUAUCACUAAUUAUAAUACACCGUUUCAAACCAAACGAUUUCUUACUACACACGUUAUUGAAAAAAUCAAACAUAUAUUAUAAUAAGUUGGUAUUAUUUUUUUUUUUUUGGUUACAGUUUAAUAUAUCCACUACAUCAUUAGAUAUUAAAAAAAUUGUGUUGAGUUUGUUUGUAUUUAGAUUUUUUCUGAAAUUAUAAUAAUACAAUGUACCUAACACAUUGGACGGGAACUAAAUUAGUCAAGUCCAUAUUUUUAUUUUAUGGGAAGAGGAAAAAGACAUGGGAUUGGGGUUGCCAAUUUCGUUGUAAAUUUCCUCCAUGCAUGUGAUUAUUUCAAUUUAUUAAAAUGGAAUUUAUUCUAUUGUUCUGUUAUUAUGUUAUCACUAUUCCUCAAAAAAAAUUGUUAUCAACUAUAUUAUUUUUCAUCCCAAUUAUUGUUACAAUUUCAAUUUUUAAUCAAUAUCAUAAUAAAAAGAACCUCAAAAAGUAGCUAUCUCACUAACUAUCAAUUUUGGUCGGGCUUUUCUGUACAAUGUUGCCUAUACCAACACAUUUGUUUUAAAUCAAUAUCAAAUUGGUACGAAACGGAGGGGAAACAUAUUUAUGGUAUGAUAGUUGGAUUGAUGGUGGUUCAUUAGCUUCAAGAUUUAAUCGGCUUUUAUCAAUUUCAAAUUUUGCAAUGCAAUGUGGAGGACAUGGUGGAGUGGAUUUAGGGGCAGUGGGCAGGGUCAUGGAGGAGGGAAUUAUUUCAGUGAGAGAUGAACAUGUUCACUGAAUCAAGGUGUUAAGGAUAGAUAGAUAUGGAAGCAUUACAAUGGAGGAACUUAUUCUGCAAGUUAUGUUUAUUCAGUAAUUAUACAUGACGGCCUUCUUUGUAGAGAUUAUUUCUUUUCAAAAUUUGGAACAAGUUGGUCCCGUUGAAGGUGUCAUGUCUUGGUUUAAAAAAUGCCAACGAAGGAAAACCUUGUUGAUCGAAGAUUGUUGCCUCUUAUCAAAGAGGAGGUGUGAAGUGGAGGCAGCUACCCUUUUUUUCUUUGAAUGCCCCGGGUUUCCGCAAGUCUGAUGGUUAGGUCUUCAUUUGUUGAAAUUUACGUCAGUUAUGCAUAAAACCCGACUAAAAUUGGUAGUUUCUCUAUGAGUUCUUUUAUAGUAUAGGUUGAAACAGUAGAACAGAAUAUGGAGUGAAUCCCAAGAUAUCCUUGGUUAAAUUCCUAACCACUGGUGUGUGUGUGGUUAUUGUAUAACAGGUAAGUGGGUAUGCAAUAGUUGUAAAAAUAUGCAUGGUAAAGAAAAUAAACAAAAAAGAAAACCUGCACCCUUAAAAAUUAGAAUCAUGUGUUCAUAGACAGAAGAGCUUUCACUUUAUAACAAUGCAUCCAUCGAAAAGCCACAUUAACAAAAUUGUAACUAUCAACUGGACUUUGAUAACAAUCAACUAGAAAACAUGUAAUACUUUGAUAACUAGAAUCAUAACAUAAUUGUUAUAAAGUGAAAAAACUUAAUUGUUCGUAAUCAUCUUUUGAAAGAGCUCUGUAGUAAUUGGAGUGAUUUUGGAAAAAUGAAAUAAAGUGAACCACAUUAAUCAUACCCUGCAAUGUCUUAUGUCCCAUUGUACUUUUUGCAGCGGUAUUUGAGACGCUACAGCUUGGCGCUUCAGCCUUGCCGUGCAUAUAAUGAGGGACCAAAGCAAUUCACCAUAGCUCUGUGUAUGGUGUUCUGAUCCCUCUCGGAAUCUCUGUUUACUUUUCUUACAAUCACUUUUGUGCCAGCCAAGAUAUUCAGUAUAUUUGUAACCAAAACAAUGAGCGCAAAGCAACCAAACAAUUCCCUUGCUAUGCACAACAUUACCAACAAUCAUUUGCAACAUAUCAAUUAACGUUCAUUAUCUCAUUCAACAAAAACCCUUCACUCAUCUCCUUCGUUCGCUUCGUUGAGAAGCCUUCAUCGAAUCAAGUCCAAAUCCAACGCAUUCUUAACGCUGCAAAUGUACAGGUUUCAUAAACUAUAAGAAUAAGAAUAUAUGGAAAAUUAAUAAAUUACUACUUUUAAGUAAAUGACAGGAUUUGGCUUGCAAGAACACUAACUAAUGUCAUCAAAAGGACUGCUAUUCUAUCAAACUGCUAUGUUCUGCUAUUCCAUUAUAUAAAUUUAGAAUUCUAUGUUUUUUGUAGUCCAAAGAAGGAUCGAAUUUCAUGUUAAGCCUGACUCAAAUUUCCACAUCCCUAAACAUGUCUGAUACUUUAAAAAGUAAGAAAUCCAGCAGUACAUAGUGUCUCCAGAAGAAACAACCUUCUUGGAAAGCCAGUCUGGCACAAUCUUUUCCAAAAUCUCAAUCUGUUCUUCAGCUUCUCCUAUUGGGCGGAAUAAGAUUAGUUAGCUAGAUUUUUUAUUACUAAGAAAUCGUGUACAUUAUAAUAAAAUAUAAUUAGAACAUACCAAAUAUAGAGUUAAUCACACCAAUAAUGAAAGAUUGUUAUCCGAUUCAUCCAAACCAGUCUGAUCUACGUUGGUUUCCUCAAAGGAGUGUGACCAAGGCUUUCCUUCUGCCUGCAUUGAGAAACAAACCAAUUAGCAGGAAGGCAACUACUUAAAUGAGAGAAUAAAUUGCUUUUAGAAUAAAAUUGCUUUUGAAAGGUACAAAAUAAAAUAAUAAGUGAAUAUCAAAUUAUGAUUCUAAGAAUAAGUCUAAAAUUAAAACCGAAACAAUAUGGCAGGCAUACCUCAUAAGGUAAGGAAACAGAAUCAAAAGAUUUGCAGUCCUAAAAACAUCCUCAGCUAGGUUUAGAUAUGUCUGCUCUAUUGUCCAAAUCAUCGCUGCCUUCUGUGAGUAUAAAGUGGAGCACUCUUUUUGCAGGCUUAAAACAUGAUGUAGAUUUUUGCACAAUCAUUUUCUGAAGGUUAACAUAAGUAAGUACUGAUCAACAACUGACUGCACAGGUGUGUGUGUCAACAAACUAUCAGUAAAAGAGACAAUUUUCAAAUCAGGGCUUUCCAAACUAUUGCGGCUACAGAAUGUGGAGGUGAGAUAUAAUGCACUGGUGUAUUAAUAUCUUUUGGUUGAAAAAACACAUUGAUAAUGAUUCCUUCUGGUCGCCUCUUUCUGCAUUAAGAUUACUCACAAAAUCAAACAACAGUGUGAAGGUGAGGAAAAACACAAGAAGGGGGAGGGGGGGGGGGGAGAGAAAGAGAGACACAAGCAAUUAUCCUGGUUCCUUCCACAAAUCGGAAGUAGUCCAGUCCUCCUUGCACUUCCAAGGAGAUUUCACUAAUAAUCACAAAGAUUACAAAUGCUCAAUACUCUCUAAGUAUGAGACUUCUCAAAAUGCUCAAGCACGCAGGCGAGAGUCUUCCAAUGCUCAAGCACUAAAGCAAGAGUCUUCUAAUGCUCAAGCACGCAGGCGAGAGGCUUCUAUUCAAACAAAAAUACAAAGAAAAUGUUUGAAUUGAACACUUGAUAUACAAUCAGUGGUGUUCACAAUACAAUGCAAUAAAGACUCUAGACUUAUGAAUUUCUAAGAUGUAUCAAAUCAGUGCAGAAAUUCAAUGUACUUUGUAGAAUCAAAUUUGGCAGAGUUUUGGCGCUUUUAACUUGUGUUGAUGUCUCUUGCCAAUCUUCAAGUCUUCACUCCUUUAUAUAGAGGUGUGAAAGAGACGUUGAGAUUUUUAGUACGUCUAAGAGUCGUUGAGUUCCUUUGAUCAUCCACCAGUAAUCUUUUGCCUGAUUUGGGUGUAGUCCUUUGAAGAAUCAACUUCAAAUUCAUUCCCAUCUUGAAGGAACAAUUCUGCAGGCAGAGCUGUUGUCUUGUCUGAUAGCGUAGACAAAAACAGAGUAGUGGAGGUAGUGGUUGUACACUUGUACUUUGUCAACUCUGUUAACGAAGGACAAGUACCCAGUGUUCUUCAAAUGACCGUUGAUACCUCCCUUUCAAUUCUUCGUUCUUCUAGACGAUGUUGAAACGAAAAACAGCUCUUUUGAAUCUUCAGUUUAAAUUUACUAAUCACUUGUAGCUUCUGGUGAUGGUAUAGCUUCUGAUGAAACCUUGCUUCUGAUGGUCUUCUGCUUCUGAUGAACUUUCUGCUUCUGAUGACGUCAUCUUCAGAGGCACUUGUUACUUCAGAAGCACUUCUUAGCUUCAGACGCAGUUUUCUUCAGAUGCUUUGGAUUCCUUUGCUCUCCAUUGUUCUUCCAAGACCUAUUGAAAUUGAAUGACUUUGCCUAUGGUCCUGUACACUUGAACAAUUGUUAGCAAUAACCAAUUGACAAUUUUUAAUAUGUUGUUAUCAUCAAAAUUCAUUAAGGUUUAUUGUGAAACACAUUUUGUUCCAACACAGUGUACAUUCUUUCUACCGUGUGCUUCACUUUCUUGGUUUUCUAGGAAGUUUUCAGAUGUUGAAAAGCACUGAAUUUGCUCAGUCUGGUUAGCAACAUUCUUGAGAAAACUGUCUUUUGGAAGAUGAACUCAAAUGUAAGUUGUUCAGCAACGGUUCAAUUCAUUGGAAGUUAAUGAAAGUUCUGUUGACAAGUUAAAGGGCUCUGGUAGCAUGACCUGUGGAAGAUCAGUAACCUUAUCAACAAUGAAAAGCAAAAAAUAAAAUUAAAGUAAUGAAAUCAGUUCUUUUGCAUAAGUGAGAAUUUCAAAUUUCUCCGCUUAACAAAUAACUACAAAAAGAAAUAUAGCGGAGUCAGACCCAGGAAAAUCAGUUACAAAAAUGUAAGCUUAUCCAGUAACCACAAAAUCUCAUAUGCUUUGUCUAAUGUAAGAAAGCCAAUAAAAUUUGUGCACCAAUAAUAUUUUCAACAACCAUUCCUUCUCUAAUUUUACCAUUCUUCCACUUUAUUUUUUUGACACCCAGGACAAAUACUAUGGCAUGUUUGGAUUUCAUAGGCUUUUUUAAACUUAUUUUUAGUUAUAUCAAAUCAACAAGGGAUAGAGUUAGAUCUCUGUUUAAUAAGCACAAUCAACAAGAAACAUUGUACAUAGUAAUAAAAUCAGCAUGGUUUUGGUUUGUUUUCCCAAAAGAGUUAUCAAAGCUUUUGCCAUUGUAGAAACUCAUAUCGUAACAACCAUUAUCUUUUGAAUGAGCUCUAGUGGUAGGAGGACUUUUAACUAUUAUCAAAACUACGAAAAAAAAUCAAUAUUUCUGUGAACAUAUGCCAACUUGUCAUUACAAAAUGGAUAGUUUAUGGCAAUUUGGGUCAAAUGAAAGAUAUACUUACUUAAUCCCAAGUGAACAGUGUUAGCAUCAUUCUCUGGGUUGGUGAAUCGAAUAUCUUUCAUGCUACUUUUCUCUUUCAAUACAUGGAUUCCACUAAACAUGAAUGGGAAUCCAAAGUCAACCUCUGCAUGGUUCCAUUUAUUUUCUAAAAGUGCCUUGUCCAUAUUAUCAUUGAAGUAUUCCAUUUGCAUAUGAAAAAGAUGCAAAUGAUACAUGUCCGGCUGAGUUCCCAUAACACGCUGCCACCCAUGUGUAUAGAAAAAUGUAUUUCCGUUGAUGAUCACUCUUACAAGGUGUUCAGAAGAAUUACCCCAUGUAAGUGGAGAAACAACACAGAGAGCUAUGGCAGGAAACUUGCCACAAAACCAGAAAGAAAUUGACUUUCCUGCCUCGCAUUGGUGGUCGAACCACUCUGGAAUCUUUGCACGUGGCAAACGAAACCGAGUAUUUCCAGCCUCAUGUAAUUUCUAUUAGUCAUAAAUAAUUAAUGUUAAGUUUAACUAUAUCAAGAAAAAUAUAAAAUACAUUACAAAUAAAAACAAAAUAAAUCAUAACCUGAUUUAGUAAUUUGCUUUUGCACGACGAAGUCAAUAUGCAGUUUAGUGCAGAUAACUCUCUUAAGCAUGGAGGAAUCCCUUUCAUUUCCAUAAGUUCCUUACAAUCAUCCAAGACGAUUUUCCAUAAAAAUUGACAUUUUUCAAUAGAUUUAGGAAUAACUGUGAAUUGACAGUUAGUUAUGUGUAGUUCUUUCACAUUAGCAAACAACAUGAGACUUAUUGACAGAUAUUCAUCUGAAAGUUUGCAGUUCCUGACACAAAUAUACUUUACAUGUGAAGAUUGCAUUUGGUUCAUUUUUUCUUCAGCCUUGAUGGUAAGUUCAGCCGAUUCUGACAUCACAACAUCUCUAUUUGGUAAGCGGCCAUAUCCACAGUCACAUGAAACAAAUCUUUGAGGCUGAGUAAGAGUUUGAAAUUGAAAUGGAAAUUCUUUUAUGGGAGUUUCAUCCAAGUGGAGUCUUGGUAUAUUUCUCAUCUCUCCCAAUAUUUCUGGAAAACUCUCAAGCCUAUAACAACAUGAAAGAUUGAAAUGUUCCAACGAAGUCAGGCUGAGCCGUGGGAUAUUCCUAAGCAUGAUGCAGUUUACAAUAUUCAAGAAUUUCAAUUUAUCCAACAACCCAUCCACCACACUUGGAAAGCUCUCGAGCUUAUAACAAUCUGAAAGGUCAAGUUUUUCAAGUGAAUCCAACUUGAGAGCUGGAAUAUUCCUGAGAUUGUGACAAUUUUUAACAAACAGGGUUUUAAGUUUAUUCAACAACCCAUCCACCACGCUUGGAAAGCUCUCGAGCUUAUAACAAUUUGAAAGGACAAGUUUUUCUAGUGAAUCCAACUUGAGAGGUGAAAUACUC
rnacentral:lncRNA from 1 species